rnacentral:lncRNA from 1 species
GGUGGUGGUGGUGGUGGUGGACAUGGUGUUUCACUUGGAGGGUUUGGUGGAGUCACAAUGGGUGGUAAUGGUGGCACAGGGACUACAGGUGGAUACACAAUAGGUGGUGUCACAAUUGGUGGUGUUGGUACUACAGGUGGAUAAACAAUGGGUGGUUUUGGCACAUAAGGUGGUGUAACUGGCACAACUGGUGGUUUUGGGAUAUAUGGUGGUCUAACUGGGACAACAGGUGGUUUUGGGACAUAAGGAGGGUUCACAAUUGGUGGUUUUGGAACAUAUGGUGGUGUAACUGGCACAACUGGUGGUUUUGGGACAUAGGGAGGGUUCACAACUGGUGGCUUCGGGACAUAGGGUGGUUUAACAACUGGUGGUUUUGGGACAUAAGGUGGAUGUGGAUGCAGUGGAGGCUUAGGGUGAGGUUUUGGGACAUGGGGUGGAUGUGGAUGAACUGGUGGUUUAGGGUAGUGAGGAGGUUUUGGGACAUAGGGUGGGUGUACAUGGGGUGGUUUUGGAGAUGACUUGGGUGGUGGACAUGGUUUUGGUUGUUUGUGAACUGGUGGUUUCACAAUGGGAGGCUUUUUUGGAGGAGGCUUGGGAGAUGGGUAAGGGCAAUAGGGACAAGCAAGAACAUUGAGCAAAGUGCUCAAGUUCAAGAGAAGGACCAAGAGGACAUUGGCUAGGGCAAUCUUUCCCAUGGGUAGGUAGCUAAACUAGCGAAAGUGGAAUAUAUGUUUGAGUGAAGAAACAAUGAGGGGGCCUUUAUAUCAUGAUCAAACCCUAGGUUUUCUCUUUCUCGUGAAUCUUGAUGAUCACGGACAAGAGUUGUGGCAAUCAAUCAAUCUAAAUCUCACUGCUAACAAUUGGAAUUAAAUUAUUCAUUUUUUGGGCGAUGAAUCAUUGACUUGAAGGACCGAAAAAUCGUUCAGGAUAUAUAGGCGGGGCCCACGCUGUGCCAGAGUGAGUGAGCUCCUUUCCUUUAGCUUGGAUUCACGGACAAAGUUGAUCACAGUGACAAAAGAAAAUACGAAAUUAAAGUGGGCCAAGUUGUUAUGUCCAAAACUGCGAUUUCAAUUUUUCAAGUACAAGGGGAAUCAAGAAAAAAGCAAUGCUAUGCGAGAGGACAUUUUUAACAUGUAGUGACAAGUGGAAGUGGGGUUAUUCAGCCCGUGAAGAAGAUGGCAAUCCUAAUUCGUAAAGCUGAUCUAAACAUGCUUUAAUUAGAAUUAGUGGGUUUCUUGUAUAUUCCCUUACGUACCUUACCAUUGGUGUUUAAAAUCCAUUAUAAUCUCUAAUUUGUGUCUAAAUUAGAUAAAUUUUAAGUUUAAAUAGAUGUUUGUCAAAAUUUUAAGCCAAGUCCUAGUUUUUCUUAUAAAGGAUUGGAUUUAUGUAAAGUGAAUAAGGAUAAAGGAAGUAAUUUUAAUUAAUUAAAAGUAGAAAAAUCAACUUAUGUUUAACAUAUUAUUAUUUUUUUAUCACCCUAAAAUUGAUACCUGAUGAGAUGAGAUGUAAAGUGGGUAUAACGGCUAAAAAAAUUAGUUUUAACAAAAUAACUAUAACUAUAUCUAUAAUUAGUUUUAUAUAACUAGUUGUACAAAAGUAAUUAUAAAACUAUAACCAAUUUUAAUUUUAUAGUUAUGGUUAUUUUAAAUAACUUAUUUUUAUUUAAAAAUUACUUAUAGUUAUAAAAUUAUAACAAGUUUUAUAGAAAUAAUUAUUUUAAAUUUUUUUUAUUCAUUUAUAAUCCGUUAUGUAAUUGAUUUUAGAUAUGAUUGGUUAUAUAAUUAGUUUAUUCAUAACCUUUUAUAUAUUCAUAAUUUGAAAAUAAUAUCCAGUUAUAUCAUGUUAUGCCAAAUUAUAACUAGCUAGUUAUAUAAAAUUAAUUAUGGUUAUAGUUAUAAUACAUACUUUAUAAUCUAGUUAAUAAUUAGUUAUGGUUAUAAUUAUGUAAAUAUUUAAGUCAUGAAAACCCUCCAAAGGUGAAUUGUAUGGUUAAGGAAGAACAAAAAGAAAAAAAUUGUGUUUCAAUCCCCUACUAAUAAAAAAUUAAUAAUUAAUAAUUAAUAUUUAUCGAUAAAAUGACAUUAAUACAUAGUGUCCUUACACAAAUCUACUAGCCGUAUAGGUCAUAUACUUGUAGUAUUUACAAGCUUUAUUGAUAAAUAAUUUUUACUGGAGAAUUUAUAGUUAACCCUCUUUAAUGGAGUUUUUUCAACCAACCAAGUUUUGUCCUCCACAGAACUUUGAACUUCAGAUUUUAAUUAUUUAUUUUGUAUAUACACAUAUAAUAUCAUUUGUAAGUUUUUUUAUUAACAACAAAAAUACUUAUUUUACAUUCUAAGGUGAUAUACUUAUUUCAAAGAAGUCAGAUUCGUCAUAAAUAUCCCUACUUACAUUUAAUAAAUAAAAAAUUGCUUUAGACUUGGCGCUAAAAUCAGUUUAAUAGUGAAAAAUUUGGAUAGUUAGUAAGCAAUUUUAGAUUUAAACCAUAAAGGAAAAAACAUUUGGCUGUUAAUCGGUAUAAAGGGCAAAUCAGUUGUGUAUGUUUUGAUAGAAAAAGUUACAAUUUAACAUUAUAAAAUUAUUUGUUUGCACAUUUUCGCUGCUAAUUAAUAACAUAAAAAUAUAUCAUUAUAUAAUAUAUUUACGAAUUACUUACGUUUAAACAAUUUUUUUUAACUUCGUGAAAGACAUUUUAAAAUCAAAAUAAUUAUUUUUUAAAAAUAAAAUAAUUACCAAACAUGGACUUCCAAAAAUAGUUUUUUUACAUGAUUUUUUUAAAAAUAAAUGAUCACUUAAUUAGAAAUUUAUUUCUCAACAAAAUUCAUUUAUUUAAAGAAACUUUUAAUAUUCACCGCGACAAGAGCUUGCCACUCCUAGGAAAAAUAUAACUUAUUAUUUUAUAGACUUCGAUAAUAUAACUUGAAUAUAUUAAAUUAAAGAUUCAUAUAUUUUUAUUUUAAAUGUAAAUAAUAAUUUGACGUAAAAGGUAGAUAAUAUUUUAUUCAUUUCAUAAAAAAAUCAUGUAAGAUGUUUUAUAUAUUUUAUCUAUUUAGUUCGUAAUGAGAGUGAGCCCUGCCACACCGACAACUGUAAAGUUGCAAUUUGGUGUUUGUUUGUUUUUUUUUUUUAAGGAGUUUUGGUAUUUGGCUUAUCAUUAGUUUAAAUCGAAAAAUAAUCUCUUAAAAUCUGUAAGGAUUAGUUUAAAUCGAAAAAUAAUCUCUUAAAAUCUGUAAGGAUAACGCUGCAUAAGGUGACUCUUUGCUAUAAUCUCAUAGCAAUAAACUUUCUGACAUUAGGGUUUGUUAGAUGAUUAUCUAUUUUACUUUCUACAGUUUGUGAAAAUUAAGAGUACUUUCUCCUUGUGGGUAGGGUAAUUUUUUCCUUUUUUUUAUUUGAUUCAUAGAAAUAAAAAUUAAAUAUCAAAAUAUUUAUAAUAAUUCAUACAUUCCUAAAAAGUAAAAUACAUACUACUUUUUCCCUUAUUUCAAUUUGAAAUAUUAAUUAAUUUCGCCCCGUUGAGCCUAAUCAUAGUAUCGGCCAGGGUUAACACGUACCUUCAACUAUCAUGUCUAGAACUUUCAAUAUUCCACGGUGGUAUUUAAUUCAACUAAAAAGAAAUGCAAACGACGUGAUACAUUGUGUCGUUUCAAUACUUUUUCAGAAAAAAUAGUAUGAAUUUAAUUAGAAACUAAACUAAUUGCCGCAUCACCCGUACCAAAAAAAAAAGAUCACUGUACCAAAAAAUGUGUCAUUAUUAUGUAUUAUAUAAUAUUAUUGAUUUUCAAUAAUUGAUUUAAAAGUCGUCUUUAACAUGAUUUUUAAUUAUUUGGUAAUAAAAAAAAUACUUACACUAACAAUAUAUGAAAAAUCAACUAAAAUGUUAUACAUCAUAAAAUUUAAACUAUUAAAAUUUCUAUUUUAAAUGGUUUGGUCAUAAUUUAUUAAACUUUUAAAAAAAAUCUCCUCUAAAUAUUAAACCGUUUUUUUUUAAGUAUUAUUACAAACUUUAAAAUAUCUCAAUUAAUAUAGCUAGCUCUUAUUCAAUAUAAUUUUUCCUUUAAUUUCAUUGACUUUAUGUGACAAAAUUUGAACUUAUUCGUUCACAUAUUAUUAGUGUCAUUUUGUUAAUUUUGUUAUGUGUCAAUCUUCAAGGUCUAGAUUCCUCCAACUUAUAUAUAUGUUCUGUAAUAAUAUUGGUCUUAACAUUUUGAAAAUUGAAAGACUCAUUAGUUUUGGAAUUGAGAAACCAAAUUGAAUGACUACUGAUAGGUGGUAAUGGCCACUAAUGGGUUGUAAUGACCAAUAAUAAAUUAUAAUGACUACUAAAUGCAUUCUUGAUGGUAGAAUGUUUAUAUAUAGCACAUGUAUUUGGUCGCUGAGCUUAUCUCUUCCAAUUCAUCUAAUACAUCUAGAGAGAGAAAGAGAGAGCUUGAAAGAACCAAAACAAGGUAACUCUUUCAUGGCAAUGAUUGGAGGUAUAAUUUGAUUUAUGUUUUUUUGCCGCUAUAGUACGUGCAAACCACUAAAUCAAUAAAGGUUUUUUUAUAUGUAUUUAUUUUUCAUAUGUUAUAUCUUGGUUCUGCUUUACAAUUUAUGGAAUUCUGAUUUAAUUUAUGCAUGAAUAUAUUCUGGAAAAUUUUAUUCUAUGCAUAUAUAUAUGAAAUCAAAUGCAUAAUAUUAUGUUUCAAUUAUGAAAUUAUAUGAGAAUCUUAUUCAUAAUUAUAUUAUAUCUUAAUCUUGAAAUGCAUAAUAUGAUUUAUUUCUCAUAUAAUUAAGUUUUAUGUCUAAGUGAUCUUUAUAAUUUUGAUUAAUUAUAGAUUAGCCACAACAUCUAUAUUUUGAUUAAAAUUAUAUAUUAAGUUGGUUAUAGAUCAUAUAAGGAAUUAAAUAUAAUAUUGUAAUUAAUUGUACUUAUAUAAUGAAUUUUAUCCCACAUGAAUUUUUAUUAUAUUUGUAUAAUUAAUUGGGAUAAAAUGACAUAUUAUUUUUCAUGGUUUACUCACAGGCAUCAUGAGGUAUGUAUAAUUUGUCGAUUUUAUCAUAAAGUAAAUAUUUGUGAUAGAAAUUAAAUUAUUUUCAUGUUGUACCCGUAAAGCAUGAAUUUGAGCAUGUAAUUUGAGCAUAUAAUUUGAUUAUUCUAUCAUAAGGUUUAAUUGUUUCUUAUUGAAUUAAAAAUUUAGUCCACAGACAAUUUUUAUGUCACAAGAUUCAAUUUUAUGGUAUGUUUACAUUGGUAAAAGAUACAAUUAAGAUUAGUAUGCCUCAAAUUUUGACAUAAGCCUUUGAAUUUUGCAACUUCUCAAACUAUUAGUUUUUCUAAUAUUCAAUGUGAUGUUCCUGAACUCAAAGGAGAUAACUAUAAGAUAUGGAAGGAGAGAAUUCUUCUGCAAUUGGGGUGGAUGAACAUAGACUAUGCUAUAAGGAAAGACGAACCACCUGCAAUCACUGAUGAAAGUAGCCCAACUGAUGUUGCGCUAUAUGAGCGGUGGGAGCGAUCCAACCAGCUCAGCGUGAUGUUCAUUAAGACCAAAAUUUUGGCUGGAAUACAUGGUUUUGUUGACCAACAUGAAAAGGUCUGAGACUUGCUUAAGGCCAUUGAGGAUCAGUUCAUCACUUCAGAUAAGACUUUAGCAAGCACCCUGAUCGUGAUGUUCUCCUCUCUUCGGCUCACCAGUGUGAAAGGUGUGCAUGAGUACAUAAUGAAAAUGCGAGAUAUUUCAGCUCAACUUAAGAAACUAGAGGUUGAUAUGUCUAAGUCCUUCCUAGUGCACUUCAUUUUGAACACCCUUCCGCAUGAAUAUGGGUCGUUUAAGAUUUCCUACAACACACAUAAGGAUAAAUGGUCUAUCAAUGAAUUAAUGACCAUGUGUGUUCAGGAAGAAGAAAUACUUGUAAUGGAGAUGAGUGAGAGUGUAUUGCUAACAACUGCUUAUGGGAAGAACAGAGCAACUAAGUCUCAAGCUAAUCAGAAGGCGAAUGGUAAAAUACCACCUCAAGCUGAUAUUAAGAAGGUGGCAAAGUGUUUCUUCUGCAAGAAGAAGGGACACAUGAAGAAGAACUGCCCCGAAUUCCAGAAAGGGCUUGAGAAGAAAGGUAAAUCAAUCUCAUUAGUAAGUUAUGAAUCUAAUAUGGUUAGUGUUAAUAUUAACACCUAGUGGAUUGAUUCUGAAUCUACUAUUCAUAUUGUAAAUUCUUUAUAGGGUAUGCAAAACCUAAGGAAACCAGUGGGAAGUGAGCAAAGCAUUUUAUCAAGCAAUAAGCUAGGCUCACAUGUGGAGGCCAUUGGAACUUGCAUUUUAACUUUAAGUAGUGGUUUUAUUUUAAAAUUAGAAAGGACCUUUUAUGUACCAAGUUUUUCUCGAAACUUGAUUUCUAUUGCUAGACUUGUACUCUUUGGAUAUUCCUUUAAUUUCAAAGACACAUCAUUUGAGUUAUUUUAUAAUUCUGAAUGUGUUGGGAAUGGUAUCUUGUAUGAUGAUCUUUAUCUUCUUGGUUUACAAAAUUAUGUCACUUAUAGUUCAAUGCAUGUUCAAACUGGUAUUAAAAGGUGUAAUAUUAAUGAGAAGUCCUCUAUGUUAUGACACCGAAGAUUAGGACAUAUCUCCAUUAAGAGGAUUAAAAGGUUAGUGAAAGAUGGGGUACUUAAUACUCUAGAUUUUGCUAACUUUAAGACUUGUGUGGACUGCAUUAAGGGUAAGCAGACCAACAUGUCUAAGAAAGGUGCUAACAGGAGUUUAAGCAUAUUAGAAAUAAUUCAUAUUGAUAUUUGUUGUCCAGAUAUGGAUGCACAUGGUCAGAAAUAUUUUAUCACCUUUAUAGAUGAUUAUUCACGAUAUAUGAAUGUUUAUUUGCUUCAUAAAAAAUACGAAGCAUUGCAUGCCUUCAAAGUCUUUAAGGCUGAAGUUGAAAACCAAUGUGGCAAGCAAAUAAAAAUAAUGAGAUCUGAUAGAGGUGAAGAAUAUUAUGAUAGAUAUACUGAGAAUGGAUAAGCACCUGGUCCCUUUGCAAAGUUUCUUCAAGAACAUGGGAUUGUUGCUCAAUACACUAUGUCUGGUUCUCCAAAUCAGAAUGGUGUGGCAGAAAGAAGGAACCGAACAUUAUUGGAUAUGGUGCGGAGUAUGCUUAGCAACUCCAAUAUUCCUAAAUCCCUGUGGGCUGAAGCACUAAAGACGACAGUGUAUAUAUUAAAUCAUGUUCCAACCAAGGCUGUUCCAAAGACACCUUUUGAGUUGUUUAAAGGUUGGAAACCGAGUUUGAAAUAUAUGCGCGUUUGGGGUUGUCCAUCUGAGGUGAGAAUAUAUAACCCACAAGAGAAGAAACUUGACCUGAGGACUAUUAGUGGGUAUUUCAUUGGAUAUGCCGAAAGGUCUAAAAGUUAUAGGUUUUAUUGUCCAUAUCAUAUUACUAGGAUUGUGGAAUCAAGAAAUGCCAAGUUUCUUGAAAAUGACUUGAUUAGUGGGAGUGAUCAAUUGAGGGACUUAGAUUCUGAAAUUGAUUAUAUAGAGUCUCAACCUUCCACAUCAAGUGAAAGAUUGGUUGUAAUUCAAACCCCUCAAGUUCAAAGGGAUGAUGAACAACACAUGAUUGAUAUUCCACAAACUAUUGUUGAUAAUCUAGUAGAUCAAGUUGAUCAUCAAAUUUGUGAAAAUGAUGAAUAACCAGUUGAACAACAUGAUCCCCAAGAAAAUGUUGAUGCAACAUUAAGGAGGUCUACUAGAGUAAGAAAAUCAACUAUUCCUAGUGAUUAUAUUAUAUAUUUGCAAGAAUCUGACUAUAAUAUUGGAGCUGAAAAUGAUCCUGAAACUUUUGAUCAAGCCAUGAGUUGUAAAAAGUGAAAUUUAUGGUAUGAUGCCAUGAAGGAUGAGAUGAACUCCAUGCAGAGUAACAAAGUUUGGAACCUUGUAGAGUUGCCUAAUGGGACAAAAACCAUUGGAUGUAAAUGGGUCAUUAAGACCAAAAGGGAUUCAAUAGGCAACAUUGAGAGAUACAAGGCAAGACUUGUUGCUAAGGGAUUUACUCAAAAAGAAGGAAUUGACUACACAAAGACUUUUUCUCCAGUAUCUAAGAAAUAUUUUCUUUGUAUUAUCUUGACAUUAGUUGCUCAUUUUGACCUUGAGUUACAACAAAUGGAUGUGAAAACAGCUUUUCUUAAUGGUGAUUUAGAGGAGGAGGUUUAUAUGAAACAACCUGAAGGCUUCUUGUAACACCCUGAAAUAUUACUAUUUAUAAAUUGAUGUUUAAUUGUAUUUAUUGUGUUAUUUGACUAUAUGGUUGACUUGAAUGAGUGGAGGUAUGACUUGAAUUAGCCAUGUGUGAAUUUUUUUAUGUGGAUGAUGAGUUAUGUGGGGUUUUGUUGAGAUAAGUUGAAAUUAUGAGAUUUCAAAUUUUACCUAAACCUAUUCCAGUAAAAUUAUGAUCCUUGAUUUGUUAACCGUUGGAUUGUCUUCAAAUUUUGUUUUCAACUUCCUAAGACAUUUCUGAACAGUCUAACGGUUGGGAUUUUGAAAAUAAAAAAAAUGGAUGUCUCGCUAAGCGCGAAGGGCGCGCUAAGAUCAAUUCCAACCCGAGAAGGAAUUGCGCUGAGCGAGAAUUGGCUUGGUGAGCGAGCCAUAGUGCAGAGGAAGUUGCGCUGAGUGAGAAUUUGUGCGCUACGUGAGAAAAGUGGGCUCCCGCUUAGAGAGAUAAGCGAGAUCUGAAGAUUAUACAUUCGUUCCUCAGCGUGAAAAAUAUGAUUUUUCACUCUCCUCUUCUCCAAAAUGCCACCCAAACCCUAACACCUCCUUUUCCACCACCCACGACCACCGGUGGCCACCACGAGCCGCCGUUGCUUGCCGUCGAACCCCUACACCAAGAGGAACAUCUUAAUCGGAGCAGAAUCCUCAGAAUCCUCCUCAAGGAUUCGGUGGAGAAAAUUCCCCUGAUCCUCCAUUUCAAAGCUUCUUUGAGGUAAUUUUGAUUUCUAAGCCCUUCUCCUAGUUAGUUUGAGUUCCUCUUAGUGUCUCUUGUGUGUUGGGUACUGUAAUAGGGUGUUUUUACACUUCCUUUGAAAAACCCUUGAAAAUGAGACAUUGUAAAAGUUAUUUUUUAUAAUAUUGAUGUUAUUUUCGUGACCUUCACUGAACCUCAAUCACAUUGGCACGAGCGGAAUUUCAAAAUGAUGUCUCCUUUUAGUAGAAUCCGAAACACCCCUCAACCCUUUUUGUUUUGAUAAGGGUAUUUGAUUCUGAAUGUUUUCAUUAACCUUGUUUCAAAAAUCUAUAUUAAAUUUCCUUCAAUUUGGCAUAGAACAUUACAUUUGGAUUGACGAGCAUGAACGAGGGAGACCUUUGAGCGACGCAAAGAGAAACUGAAGAAGAGCUCACGAUAGGUGAGGGGAGUUUAUUAUAGUUUACAACUUUUAAUGCCAUAGUUGGGGUCAGGGAACCUAACUGUGGGGACAUAUGCUUGUCCCUGUUGCAUGCUGGUUUUCAAAGAAAAUAAUGUUUUUUGACUAAUAGGAUGCAAUAUAUCUUUUAUUGAUUAAUAACAUUACUAUUAGACUUGUGUGGUCUGAAGACCUGGGAAGUGUGAAUCUCAGGCAUGAACUACAGAUGUAUGUAUAUGUGGAAUGUGACUUACUGUUGAUGUUGCUAUUGAUGACAUUAAUUGAUACGAGGUGAGGUUGAUGCUUAUGAUGAUAUUGAUAUGAAAUAAUGUUGUUAUUGAUGAUUAUGUCAAUAUGAGUUGAUUAUGUUAAUAUGAGAUGAUGUUGUUAUUGUUGAUAAUGUCAUUGAGAUGAAAUGAUCUUGAUGUUGAGCAUAAUGAGAUGAAAUGUUGAUGAUGUUGAAAAUACACUUUGAUGAUGUAUGUUGUGUAUGUACAUGGGGGGUGCAUUGACCUUGUUGGAUGUCCCUGGUGGGGGAAAUAGAGUGGUUAAAGAGUUUUAAGCAUCUCUGGAAGGGGAUGACUUAGAAUCUUUAAUUAUCCAUUAUCAGUGCAUUGAUGAUGCCCAUGUUUCAUACAUUGUGUGAUGUGUAUGUUCAUGGGGGGGGUGCAGUGACCUUGUUGGAUGUCCCUGGUGGGGGGAAAUAGAGUGGUUAAAGAGUUUUAAGCAUCUAUGGAGGGGGAUGACUUAGAAUCUUUAAUUAUUCAUGGUCAGUGCAUUUGAUGGUGCCCAUGUUUCAUACGUUGUAUGUUGUGUAUGUUCAUGGGGGGGGGGUGCAGUGACCUUGUUGGAUGUCCCUGGUGGGGGAAAUAUAGUGGUUAAAGAGUUUUAAGCAUCUCUGGAAGGGGAUGGCUUAGAAUAUUUAAUUAUUCACGGUCAGUGCAUUUGAUGGUGCCCAUGUCUCAUACUUCAUAUGACAUGGAAAUAGUAUAAACUUUGUCAGUAAGUACUUGUAGUUUCUCAUGAGGAGGAAUACUUGUACUAGGGGGCAUGUCACUCGGUUUGAAACUCCCUUAAGACUCAUGCUGAUCACCGUGUGGGGGAGUUGCCUGUGCACGACAGGGUGACCUCGACACUUACUGCCUAGUUUUCCUAAGUGAAAGUGUCAUGUGGGCACGCUUAGGCUAUUUCCUUGGGGAUGAUACCACAUUGCAUAUGAGAGUUGAUGUCAGGUGCAUGCAUCAUAUUGAGCAUGAAUGAUUGGAAUUAUGGAUGGAUGAUGACUAUUUGUUGAGUGUGUAUUGGACUAAUGAAUGUUGGUGCAAGCUUAUGAUACUUGUUAAUGUUUUCUUAUUAAUUGUGGUUAUUUGAUUUUUGUAAUAAUUUCUUUUAUAAUAAACUCACCCCUCGCAAUUUUUGUACCGUGUGGUUGGUACCUGUGAUGAUCGCGAAGCUUUGUUUGUAGGAGCAGAAUGACAGUAGUAGUGGACGAGAAGUGAGAUUCUUUUAUAGAGCCGUCGAGCCGACAUGAUGACGUUGAGAUUAUUUUGGGAGAGUUGUGUUUUGUUAAUCAACUCCUCCAUAGAUGGUUCCGUAAUUCUUUUUGUUGAUUUGAAGAUGUGAAUCACAAAUUUAAUUAUAUAUAUGAACAAAUUUAUUUUCCAUUAUGUGAAUGAUGUGUACUAGGUUACUAUACUUAUAUAUAUAUAUAUAUAUAUAUAUAUAUAUAUAUAUAUAUAUAUAUAUAUAUAUUCACUUAAGUAAUGGUGCAUUGCUUGGUGAAUGUAUAUAAAAAAAAUUACUUUCAUUUUUCAUAAGCAAAUUAACGGAGUUUUCAUUUAAAAAAAUUUGAAAUUUCUUGCGGUUUAGAGUGGUGAUAUCGUAGCGAUGAAGUGGGUCAUUACACUUCUCCUCUAGUAGUGGUGAGCAUUUGGUUUGCAAGCUUAAUAAAUCUAUAUAUGGUUUAAAAAAAACCUCUCGUCAGUGGUACCUUAAGUUUCAUGGGAUAAUUUCUUCACUUGGUUUUGAUGAAAACCCCAUGGAUCAAUGCAUAUACGACAAGGUAAGUGGGAGUAAAAUAUGUUCUCUUGUUUUAUAUGUAGAUGAUAUUUUACUUGCAAUCAAUGAUCGGGGUUUGCUACAUGAGGUGAAACAAUUUCUCUCUAAGAAUUUUGACAUAAAGGAUAUGGGUGAUUUAUCUUAUGUCAUCGACAUUAAGAUUCAUAGAGACAGACCUCGAGGUAUUUUGGCUCUAUCGCAGGAAACCUAUAUUAACAAAAUUCUAGAGAGAUUUCGGAUGAAAGAUUGUUCAUCAAGUGUUGCUCCCAUUGUGAAGGGUGAUAGGUUUAAUUUGAACCAAUGUCCAAAGAAUGACUUUGAGAGGGAACAGAUGAAAAACAUUCCUUAUGCUUCAGUUGUUAGAAGCCUUAUGUAUGCUCAAGUAUGCACAAGGCCUGGCAUUGCUUUUGGAAUUGGAAUGUUAGGAAGAUAUCAGAGUAAUCCAGGUACUGGCCACUGGAGAGCUACUAAGCAAGUGAUGAGGUACCUUCAGGGGACCAAAGAUUACAUGCUUAUGUAUAGACAAACAGAAAUUCAAGAUGUGAUUGGUUAUUCAAACUCAGACUUUGCUGGUUGUGUUGACUCUCAUAAAUCAACAUCUGGGUACAUUUUCAUGAUGGCUGGUGAUGAGAAUCCUGAAAUUGACCAAAUACAGGCUAAAGGCCCAAGUGGAGAAGGACAAAGCCCCCGAGUGGAGAAGGACAAAGCCCCCGAGUGGAGAAGGAUGAAGGCCCAAGUGGAGAAGGAUGAAGGCCCAGAAGCAGAGACAUUAUCAAGACUAUUAAUUGUUGCUGAAGGCCCAGAUUAAUUUGAAGGACCAUAAUAAAUAUGUUCUAUUUUUAUUAAUAAUUUUUAUUUAUUGUAAUUUUGGCCCAAACUGUUUAGAAGACCCAUUUCUAUUUAUAUCUUUUUGUUCAGAUACACUAUAAGUAUUGGUUUUUGUUUUCAAUAAAAGGACUUUUGGCAUUUGAUAAAAUUUGGUGAGAGUUUCUCUCUGGAUUCCUUGUUGAACCAAUCCCAGACUUAUCAAGGUAAUCCUUGUGGCGUCUACCCUGACUUAUCUUCCUUCACUGGAAGUGGCGUCAUCCAAAUCUCCGUAGCCUGUAUCAAACAUUCCGCCCCGUAAGGUUCACAUCAUCUGGUAUCAGAGCUUUAGCUCUUGAUACAGGUUCUAUCCUAUCCUAUUAUUUUUUUUUUGUAAUUUGUCCAGGUUCGUGUUUUGUCCUUGUUCUGUUAUUUGUUUUCUUGUUUGCGUUCUUGUUUGUGUCUUUGUUUCGUUCUUCUUCUUGUCACGUUUUUGUUCUUGUUCUUGUUUCUUGUGUCUUUCAGACUUUGUGUAAAAAAAAUCUGUUUGAGUUUUGUUUCAAGUUUAAAAAAAAGUUGCAGUAUUUAUGAAAAAAGAGAAGAAAAGAAGAAAAAAAAGUGGGUGUUUGAUCUUUGAACACGAAAUUGAGGCAGUUAGAGGCUUUUUUUGGCAGAAAAUCGUGUACCAAAUCCCCUUAUAUGGAUUCUCCUCUGAAUUCUGAGCGUUUUGAUAUAUAGUGGGCCUCAAACGAACAACCGUAGCAAAAGUUAUGAGCAUUUGAAGUUUACUUGUCAUAUCUGUUAUCUUAUUUAUUAUCCUAUCUGUUAUCUUAUUUGUUAUCAUAUCUAUUAUCCAAAUUAAAUCUAAUUUGUUAUCCAAAUCCAAUCUAAUCUGUUAUCCAAAUCAAAUCUAAUAUAUUAUCUAAAUCAAAUCUGAUCUUUUAUCCAAAUCAAAUCCAAUUUGCUAUCCAAAUCAAGUCCAACUUGUUAUCCCAAAUCAAAUCUGUUACUCAAUCUAUGAUAAUUAUAUUGUCUUUCCUUUUAUUUUAUAUUACCUUGUGUGACUAAUUUGGUCCAUCCAGGAACUUAAGAGUGAACACGAGUGGUAAAAGGCAAGAGGGAAUACAUUACACAAAAGCCUAUAUUGAGAGCAUCAAACACAAGUGAACUACCAUCAAAGAGAGAAACACGUGAGUAGAGUGUGGUGAGGUCCUAAUUUUUUUUUAAAUUACUGUAAAAUUCUUUGUUCCUUAAUCAUGGAAGGAGCUGGUGACAAUGGUGGUGUAUAUCAUCAAUAGGACGGAUUUCAACGCUUAUUACUGGACGCGAUGACUACACAAAUGCAAUGUUUGUUGAAACGUAACAAUGAAGAGCUCUACAGGCGAAUAGAAGGACUAGAGCACCAAAUGAAUCCAAAUGUUGGGAGACCUUAUGGUGGCAACAGAAGGGUCAAUGAUGGAUCGAACCGAAUAGAGGGGCAAGACAAAAUUGAGGGAGUAAAAAUCAAUGUAUCCUCUUUUAAAGGCAAGAGUGACCCAGACGCCUACCUUACCUGGUAGAUGAAGAUUCAACAUGCAUUCUCCUACAAUGAUUAUCCGGAAGAGCAGAAGGUGAAGUUAGCAGCAGCUACAUUCUCAAACUAUGUCCUUGUUUGGUGGAAGAAAAAUCAAAGAGAGAUGAAGAGAGAAGAAGGGCGAUAGAUAGAUACAUGGACUGAGAUGAGAAAGGUUAUGUGAAAGAGGUAUGUUCCAACUAGCUACAGUAGAACCAUGCGACAGAAACUCCAGAGGUUAUCCCAGGGAAGUUUGAUUGUUGAGGACAAGGAGAUGGAGAUGGCACUAGUGAGGGCCAACAUUGAAGAGGACACCAAAGCAGUGCAUGAUGGCUUCACCAACAAGAUUUCUUUCCAGCACCAUGACCAGAAAAUUAUUCAUAAACCUCUAUCCCUCAGAGAAGUGUGUGAUGACCAAAUCAGAAGGAGAGAAAAGAGAGAACAAGAGAGAGACAAUAGUGAGGCAUCACCGAGGAAUAGAAAAAGGAAGAGUGAUACACUUGAGAGAUGGAGUGAUACACAAGAGAGAGAGAGAGAGUGAUAAUUCUAAUAAGUUAACUAUUUAUGUUUCUCCUAGUGUUCAACCCUUAUUGCAGGAAUUUAAAGAUGUCUUUCCCAAGGAGAUUCCUCAUGGACUGCCACCUUCAAGAAGCAUAGAACAUCAAGUUGAUCUCCUUCCAGAAGCUUCAUUGCCUAACAUGCCAACUUAUAACAGCAAGCCCCAAGAGACUCAGCAUAAGGAUGCAUAGGCCAAAAAUUGAGUAUGUGAAAAGAUUGUAUGACCAAGUGAAGGUGCAAAUUCCAAAAAGAAUGAAAGCUAUACCAAGCAACCCAACAAGAAAAGGAAGGAAGUGGUACUUGAACCCGAUGAUGAUCCUGGACAUUUGAGGGCAAAUGUUUUCCAAGAAGGAGGGAAUAAUAAGAAUCCUGAAACUGACCAAAUAUAGGCUAAAGGCCCAAGUGGAGAAGGACGAAGGCCCAAGUGGAGAAGGACAAAGCCCCCGAGUGGAGAAGGAUGAAGGCCCAGAGGUAGAGACAUUAUCAAGACUAUUAAUUGUUGCUGAAGGCCCAGAUUAAUUUGAAGGCCCAUAAUAAACAUGUUCUAUUUUUAUUAAUAAUUUUUAUUUAUUGUAAUUUUGGCCCAAACUGUUUGGAAGGCUCAUGUCUAUUUUUAUCUUUUUGUUCAGAUACACUAUAAGUAUUGGUUUUUGUUUUCAAUAAAAGGACUUUUGACAUUUGAUAAAAUUUGGUGAGAGUUUCUCUCUGGGUUCCUUGUUGAACCAAUCUCAGACUUAUCAAGGUAAUCCUUGUGGCGUCUACCCUGACUUAUCUUCAGAUGAUGUGAACCUUACGGGGCGGAAUGUUUGACAUAGGCUACGGAGAUUUGGAUGACGCCACUUCCAGUGAAGGAAGAUAAGUCAGCUGCUGUCUUUAUGGCUAAGAAUAAAAAAAGUGGAAGUUGAAGUAAGCACAUCGACAUUAAGUACUUAGCCAUUAGAGAAAGAGUAAAAGACAAGAAAGUGGUCAUUGAACAUAUAAGCACUGAGUUGAUGAUCGUUGAUCCUUUAACUAAGGGCAUGCCACAAUUUAAAUUUAAGGAUCAUGUAGAAAGAAUGAGACUUGGUUCCACUCUAUGAUUGUAUACUUACAUGUUAAAAUUGAAAAUUUUAUAUUGUGAUAUUUUCUCAUAUUUAGGUGCACAUUAAUUUAUUUGAGGAAAAUUAUGUUUUGGACCAAGAAUAAACAUUGGGUUUAUUCAUUAAGUUUUAUUACCACUUUGAGUAUACUGCUUGGAAAAUUGAGCAUAUUGUAAUACAUGGAUGAUAUUACUCGUUAUAAGAGGAACUAUCACUAUGAUUCGUAUAUUCAUUUCUUAAGAAGAUUGAGUAUUGAGGCAAAAUGUUUGGACUAAGUGGGAGAAUGUAAUAAUAUUGGUCUUAACAUUUUGGAAAAUGAAAGGCAUGUCAGUUUUGGAAUUGAGAAGCCAAAUUGAAUGACUACUAAUGGAUGGUAAUGACCACUAAUGGGUUGUAAUGACCAAUAAUGAGUGGUAAUGGCUACUAAAUGCAUUCUUGAUGGUAGAAUGCCUAUAUAUAGCACAUGUAUUUGGUCCAUGAGCUCAUCUCUUUUAAUUCAUCUUAUACACUAUCUAGAGAGAGAGCUUGGAAGAACCAAAACAAGGCAACUCUUUCAUGGAAAUGACUGGAGGUAUAAUUUGAUUUUUGUUUUUCUACAUUUUGUUAAUGACCUGUGUUUCUUUGUAGUUUUAACAUCAUGUACAGGUUAAAAAGUUUAGUCUAACAUGUUCAAUAGCCAUGAAUAAAUUCUAAAUAAUACUAGUCCAUCCUCCAAAAGAAAUCACCAACCAAUAAGAAUAAGAAGGUGCAAAAUACACAAAAGAUUGAGAAAUUAACAUCAUAACAGAACCUGCAAAUUUCGAGAUAAAGCAGCUAUACCUAGCAUUCACACAUGAAGAUAAGAAGUAAACAUUCAUUCAUUUGACAUUUAAGACUCUUUGGUACACAUUAACUUAAUCAUGAAGAUAUAAAAUUGAUUUGAUGAAGAGAAAAAAGAGAAGAAAAACUUGUGAUACGAGUAUCUUUACUAAUAAAAACUAAAAAAUUAACAUUUAAUAUUUGCUGAUAAAAAAAAUACACUAACUUGAUUGUAAGUUUUUUUUUUAUUACCGACACCUCAUUCAAAGUGAAGGCUUGGGGAGGUUCAAUGUAUGAUCAACUUGAGUUACACAACAUGUUCGAUUUUGUAUUGUACUGAGCAUUUGGUGUCAUAUGUCGGAACGAUUCUUUCCUAGCUAGUCGCCUAUGUUUACCCACCAACUCACUACAACAUUUCAUAAGCAUCAUUAAUCAAUAAUAUAUGUUUGGCGUUAACUAAACUUUUUUAUUUAUAUAUAGGGAAAAGGAAUUUAUUAGAGGAGAGUAAUGGGGUACUCUCAAACCUAUAUACAUCAAAUAUUUGUGAUAAGAUUAAUCAUUCUAAGAGCAACCAAAGAGGAAAAAAAAUUCGAGGCUGUUAGGUUUGUGUGGGUUUUCGCUAUAUAAAGCAGAUUGAUUGGUUAAUUUUGUUGAUAUUCAUUUGUCGUUUUGACAAGUGAGCAUAUUAUUGUAAUUAGUUUGCUUCUCCUAUUUUGGACUUCAUAUAACUUCACAUGCACAGGUAUGCAGAUAUUCCGGAGGCUUAAUAGUUUCGGUGAUCUUGGCGUUUCGUGAUAUUAAUUAAUUUUACUUUGAAUUUAAGUUUAACGUACAUCUUGGCGUUUCUGUAUUACAUGCCAUAAGGGGGUGAUUAUAUAUAUAUUUUAGUUAUUCCAAUGGUGUACCUCUUGCCGAUGUUAUGUUAUUCUUGGGUGCUUUUGGUACUCUGAUUUCAACUUUUUUUUCUUAUAAAAGAAUUCUCGUAUAUAUAAACUAUUGAGAGACAAAACCUUAUCUAACCUAAAUCAUUUUUUUUCUUACAUUGUAUUUUAAUAUCUCUUGUUUUUUUAUAAAUGAAUUGUCGUAUGCAUAGAGGCAAAACCUUAUCUAAACUAAAAUAUAUAAUCAUCCCCUUCCGGCAUGCAAUACACCCUUAGCUAAAGAAAAUACAAUAAAAAAAAACUAAUAGUAUCAUGCGCCAUCCACGUAAUAGGGAGAACCCGGACAACAAAGGCAACAUUAAUGUGUAUCAUGCAGCAUCCACGUAAUAGUCUAACAGUUUUUUUUUAUCAAUAAAUAUUAAUUAUUAAUUUUUUUAGCAUGAUCCAAUUCACAAUUUUUUCUGUUUUUAUUACUAUUUAAUCAAUCUUAUACCUCUUGUUCAACCGUCUUUAUUUAAAUAUUGAAUUUUAAUAUACAGCAUUAUAACUUUACACUUUCCGGAAAUAUUAAUCCAAAUACUUGUAACAAGAUUCUGGUUCCAUUCCGCAUGUGACAGUUUUCCAUUCUGGCUUUUUUCUUUGAUCCAAAAUCAAGUCCUGACCUUAAUUAAUUAAGUCUGCCACUUCUUCUAUAACGAUCGAAAGCAGAAUUGGUGAAUUUUUUUUGGUUACAAUUAUAAUCUAUAUGGAUGAGAGGAUUAUCAACCAUUGGAGUGUAUUAAAUGUGUUGUUGGGAUAAAUAAUGGUGCAAGCUGGGAAGGAAUUCUUGAUCUUCACGAAGGUCCCAUGAGUGCAUGCGUCCAAAUAUAUACUGUCUGGUGGUGACGAUGGGUGUCGUAUACCUUUAUUAAAUUCUAUGGGUAGAGACUUCAAGACUCAAGUUAAAAUUUAGUAAGUGAUAAUUAAGUAUGAAAAUUAUGUGUACCUCAUUAAGGUAACGAUGGGUAUUUAUAGAGGAGUCUUGGGAAUUGGGACUUGGGAGUUAGUGAUCUCUCGAUUAUGAGCCCAUCGUAUCUCGUAUUUUGAGUAUUUUUAGGAAAAUGGGGUCUUAACAUGGGUGAAAAUGUUUCGAGUCUUAUAUUGAAUUGAAUAAAUUAUUUAAUGUGGUACUUAAAUCAUGUAGGAGAUUUUGUCACGUGGUGAAUUAGUCUUUGGAAUUGGGUUAUAUAUGUUUGGUGAUCCUUGACAAAGAUGAGUCACGAAGGACUGUGAGAGAGAGGGCGAGUUAGUGAGAUAAGGAGAAACACCGAGAGAGAUAAGUACAAGGAGUAUGGGAGAGAAUGAGGGAAUGAGAGGAGGCACGGUGAUGAUAGAGGUUGGCACAAUAGAGGCAACACAUGGACAAACAAAGCGGAUGUAUCAACUUUUUACUUCUCAAAGUUCCCAAUGACAUUCAGUGAGGUAGACAUGUGAAAAGUCUUCCAAAAGUACGGGAAGGUCUAAGGAGUUUACAUAGCCAAGAGGAGAAAUAUAUAGCAGUGGGCACCACUUUGGUUUUGUCAGAUUCAAAGGAGCCCAAAAUGAUAAGGAACUUGAGAGGAGGUUGGACAAUAUUCACAUUAGAAACAUCAAACUCUAUGUGAAUAUUCCCAAACAUAACAAGCAAAGAAAGAUGGAGGAACAAGGACAAUACCAGCAACCUGCUGCAGUAGCUCACAAAGACACUAAUCAGGAGGGGGGAAGAGAGGCGAAAAUAGGGAGGGAGAGUAUAAAACAAAACAACAGAGCUCUUGUGCACAAACACUUAAAGAUGGAGGAAACAAAAAACAACUUUGAAAAACUAAGCAACUUAGGACGACAAGAGGUGAGGAGGUACAAUGGAAGGGCAAAAGUAUUACAUCACCGAAAGGAAAUAUGAAAUGGUUGAGUUAGUACUGGAUAGGGAGAAUGAAGGACCUGAAGAUGGUGGAUAAAAUGCAAGAAAUGUCUUUGUUUUUGGGAGCAGGCAAAGUGAGAUUAAGAUACAUAAGAGAAUAUGUGGUGCUCAUUUCUAGCAUUGAUGAAGACCAGUUAAAGAGAUGGACAAGGCAAGGAAAAGAGAUUAUAGGAGGUGUUUAAUGCCAUUGAAAGAUGGCAAUCUGAUUUGUAUACUAGAAACUAGUUAGUGUGGUUGAUAUGUUAAGGAGUUCCACUUCAUGUAUGGAAUGGGCAUUGCUUCGAACAGUUGGUGGGGAUGAUGGGAAGGUGCAUUAAGAUAGACUCUAAGACUUCAACUAUAACCAGAGUUAAGUAUGCUAGGAUCAGGGUGCUUAUUUUAGCACAAAACCCAAUCAUCAAGUCAUUGUGCAUCAAGAUAAAUGAUAGAGUACACAGGGUCAAAAUUAUGGAGGAAAUUCACAAAUCGAACAUUGUAACUGCAGAAUUUGGAGAAACGCAUUUUCUAGGGAGGAUGAUUCAUCGAUACAUAGUGAUGUGGGUGUGGAAGUCCGAUCGGAAUUCUCAAAUUGGGACAGAGGAAAUCUAGAUGAUUGUGGACGGACAAGAAAAUUGUGGACAACAAUUCAAGGAGGUGAACUGGGUUUUCUACAUUGGGGGGUCUUCAAGGGGAAAACAAAGAAGGAUGGAUAAUGUAUUGGGCCAAAUCCCAAAUACAUAAUAACUCCAAUAUCAGAGAGGGAGUGCAAAAGGGUAUAGUUGAAGAGAGAGGGCUCCAAAAGAAAAUGAGCCUAAUCAGAAGGUUGACCUGUCGCACAAUGAGGAAAGUGGAGGAAAAAAAAUCGACUCUGCAAGAAAGAUCAACGAAGGGAAGGGGGAUAUGGACUCUAUUUAUCUAAAGCAUACUAAGCAACACUUGGGAGUCUCUUAUGAUGUUGGUUCCAUCAGAUGCACUAUUAUUGUUCUAUCAGGAUUAAAAAUUAGACUUAGCCAAGCCUCUACUUCUUUUCUCUUCCUUUUUGACCUCGAACUUAGAGGAAUUAGGUAGCUAGGGAUGGAGAAAGGAUGAAGAUUAGCAAUACACACGCUCUGUAAUGGACUACCUGAUGUGGUCAUUAAGAACUACAAUAGAUCCUUUUGGAUUAGGAAUAAAAGAGAGCAAGCAAAUAGAAUUUGGGAAACAGGGAUCAAGAUGGGGGUUACUUCUAAUCAAAAGAACCAUCCAAUGGUAACUAGAUUGGAAGCCAUGGAAAAAAAGAAAGAUGAAGAAAAUAAAUAGAAAUAGAAGAAGCCACAUGAAGGUAACGUGGAUGGUUAUAAAUGAAUAUUAUGACAUGGAAAUUAGGGGGGGGGACUAAAACGGAUGCAAAUAAAAUAAACGGUGAUCAGGGAGAAGGUGUAUAAAUGUUAUGCAUUCAGGAGUCCAAAAAGAGGUCAUAUUUGAAGCUAUGUGACAUGCUAUGUGGGAUGAUUAUGAUGUGGAUCUGAGGUUUGUUCCUUUUGUGAAUAGGUCUGGAGGUGUAGUAUCAAUAUGGAGUAAAUGAGUGUUUGAAUGUUCAAAUCAUUUCUUAGGGAAUGGCUACGUGGGUGUUGAAGGGAGAUGAAGGGAGAAUGAUGCUAUAUUGGUAGUAGACAAUGUUUAUUGUCCAGGUGAGAUAAAUGACAAGAAAAUAAUUUGGGAGGAGAUAAGGGAGAAAAAACAACAAUGACAUUGAUUAAUGGUGUGUGGUGGGAGAUUUUAAUUGCAUAAGAAGGGUAGGUGAAAGAGUGGGAGAAAAUACAAGAGAUUAUGAUAGUGUAGAGACGAGACUCUUUAAUUUGUUUAUUAAAGAUAUGGACUUGAUGGAUGUCUCCGUGGUGGGGAGGAGCUUCAGUUGAUUUAGGUCAAAUAGGAAGGCCAAGAGUUGCAUCAAUAGAUUCCUCAUUUCUAAAGAGUGGAUCGAUGUAUGGUAAGGUUGAGCACAAUAUGUGUUGGAUAGAAAUAUAUCGGAUCAUUGUAUAAUUAUUUUGAGAAAUAAAGUGAUUGAUUGGGGCCCAAAACCGUUUAGAGUGCUUGAUUGUUGGCACAAUGAUAAAUCUUUUGAGGGUGUGGUGGAGAUGUGUUGGAGGAAGAUGAAGGUGCAAGGGUGGGGGGAUUUUGUAUUGAAAGAAAAAUUUAAAGGGCUUAAAAGAACUCAAAAAGCUUGGAAUAAGGAUCACUUUUGGAAUGUUCAUAGCAAGUACCAUGAGAUUUCUAGAGAAAAUAAUAUACAUGACGUAAAGGAGGAAGAUAGGUGUUUCGCUCUCCGGGAUUGUGUGGAUGCGAAAUCUAUCGGCAAGUGCACCGGGUCGUCAAGUAAAUAAUUAAAACGGUGUGAACCGAGUAUCGAACUCAGGGAACUUGUUCAUUUGGUAAAGGUUUGUUUAAUAAUCAGGCAUUUGCAAACAGUAAUCAUGAUUGUGAAUGAAAGUAAAAGUAUGUUCUCUUCUAAUUUCAAAGCAAUAAACAUGAGCAAGUAAGUGUGAAAACAUAUAUCUAAAGGCGUUGGGUCCUCUUAUUGAGCAAAUUGAUGCAAUUAAGGAUGUUUCUCUAAUCAAAGAUGUUUUUGUGUUCUUUGCUGAAGGCUCAAGUACUAAACACCGAUGUCUCAUGAGUUUAGCCUAAUUCUAAUUAAACUUCGUUCGAAUAUGUCUCUUGUUGAACUUAGCUUAAUUGAAUAGCUUUAUGAUCACAUCAUAAUAAAAGCUAAAUUACCGCACUCCGUGUCCAGACAUAUGAUAACCUUAUCCUGCUCUAUCAAGUUCUAAGGAGACGAUACAUCUUUCAAUGCUAAAGCCCCUAACAGUACACUCAUAUGGGUGAUCAAGCCACAAGCAUGCAAUAAUAAAGUGCUGAUAGAAACAAUGAACACAUAAAACAACCUUAAUUAGAUAGGGAAAGAGUUUACAUCAAUUACUCAGCAAGAAUCCCCAACUGAGGGUUUAGCCUUCCAUAGCAAGGAAGCUCCUUUUACAAUGAAGAAGAGGAAUUAAAAGAAAUUGCUUGCUUACAAAGGAGUGGGGAUGUCUCCUCUACCUCUAGGAACCUCACAAUCACUCAAAAACUCACAAAUCUUCCUAAAAGAUCAAAACUUGGCUUCUUUGCUCUGCUCUUUGCCUCUGUGUAUUUCACUCUUCAAGCUCUGACGACUAUUCAGUGCUCUCUCCAGACCCUCUUUUCUCAUUCUUUGCAAGUUAGGCUUACAAAGGGCUCAUUGAUCUCGAGGUCGUGCUUAGUGCCAUUCUCGAGCUUAGCGCGAGUAAGUGAACUUUCGCUCAGCGCCAAACUCGUGCUAAGACUGGAAGGUGACAAACGACUCGCUGAGCAAGCUGAUGACGCGCUGAGCGUGUUCCUGCAUGACAGAUUCCCUUCCAGAUUCCUUCUAUCCGCUAAGCGCGUUGAUGCCUCGCUUAGCGGAUGACACUCGCUAAGCGCAUUGAGCUCGCUUAGCAAGACAUCAACUUUAACACUUCUUCAAAAUAACUCCUUUUUUCCUGAAAUUGAAGAGAAAUUGACAUUAAUUCCAUUCAAAAGGCUUAUACUGAGCACAGACAAAAACAAAGCAAGAUUUAUUUACAAUCCUACAAAAAGAACCAUAAAUUGGGGAAAAUAUAUACAUUUUGUAAAAGUUUUCUAUACAAAAGUUAGUCGUAUAAGACGACUAACAAUAGGGAGUUGAACGAGGAAGACAAGAGAACAAGGAUUCUGCUUCAAGAAAUUUAUUGGAAUGCAUUAUGCAACCAUGAAUCUCUUUGGAGACAAAUGGCUAGAGCUAGAUGGAUUAGUGAAGGAGGAGGAAAUUCCAAAUUUUUUUCAUUCCUUUGUUAAUUGUAGGUGGAAAAAAAGUUCUUUGAAGGGCUUACAUAUAAAUAGGGAAUAGGAAGAAUAUCCACCAAAGGUGAAGGUGGAAGUAAGGAAUUUUUUCAAAAAUGAGAUAUAGUGAGGGCUCUUAGGAAUGUCUAAUGAUUGAUGGGGUACCAUUUAAAAAAUUUUCCCAAGAUCAAUGGAGGUUUCUAGGUGAGUGUUUCAAGGUGGAGGAAGUCAAAUAAGCAGUGUGGGAAAAUAUUGGUCUAAAAAUCUCGGGCCCUGAUUGUUUUAACUUCAAAUUUAUCAAGACAUUUUGGGCCACUUUGAAGGAGGACAUCAUGAGAUUUAGGAGAGAAUUCUUUGCAAGAGGUGUCUUUCCUAGAGGUAGUAAUCCCUCAUCCAUUGUUCUUAUACCAAAGAUGGAAGAUCCUAUGAAUUUAGGUGAGUUCUGACCUAUUUCUCAUGUGGGUUGCUUAUAUAAAAUUGUUGCCAAAGUUCUUGCCAAUGGUUAAAAGUGGUCUUUCCUAGUGUCAUUGAUGGUAGACAAUGUCCCAUUUUGGAAAAUAGAAAUAUCCUCUAAAGUGUGUUAUUGGCAAAUGAAGUUAUGGAUGAAGAAAAAAAGAAAGAAAAAGGAAUGCAUGCUAUUCAAGGUCGAUUUUGAAAAAGCGCAUGACUCCAUCAGUUGGGAGUUUCUUUGGUACAUGCUUCAUAGGCUUGGUUUUGAAGGGAAAUGGGUAGGGUGGAUGAAGGCUUGCUUGAGGUAUAGUACCAUGUUGGUAUUAGUCAAUGGAAGUCCCACAAGUGAAUUUGGGAUGAAAAAAAGGCUUAGACAAGGAUAUCCUUUGGCACCAUUUCUCUUCACAAUUGUGGCCGAGGGCCUAUGUGCUUUGAUGAGAUAAGCUAAUGAGUUGAAAUUAUUCCAAGGAUUUGAGGUGAGGAGGAAUAAGAUGGAGGUCAACUUGCUCUAAUAAAUAAUGUCUUUUUUAUCAAGGGCAUUCUCCGAUGUUUUGAAUUGGUGUCUAGUUUAAAAGUCAAUUUUAUUAAAAUCAAGUUGGGCAGGGGGUAAGGGUGGAAAUGAGGGUUGUAGAAAGAUGGGUGGAUUUUCUUAAUUUUGGAACUAUAGAUAUUACUUUUUUCUAUCUUGGCCUCCCUAUUGGUGUUAAUCCUAGGGCGGAGACCACUUGGAGACCUAUGCUAGAAAAAAUCAAGAAAAAACUAUCAAGUUGGAAGCAGAAAAACUUAGCUUUCACGGGGAAAAUUUGUCUUAUCAAUUCAAUAUUGUCUUCCUUACCCCUCUUUUAUAUAUAUUUUUUUAAAAUGCCUUCUAGUGUGGUGAGGAAAGUGGUGGCUCUUCAAAGAAAUUUUUUAUGGGGAAAGUUGGAAGAAAGUAUAAAAAUUUCAUGGUUGAGUUGGAAAAAAGUGUGUUCCUUAAGGAGUUGGGUGGUUUAGGAAUUAAAGAUAUUAGAUUAUUUGAUGAACCCUUGCUUGCUAAGUAGAGGUGGAACCUAUUUAAUCAUGAAGGAGAGUUAUGGGGGAAAGUAUUGGAGUCUAGAUAUGGAGUUUGGAGAGGGUUAGUAGAAGAAGGAAAUAUUAGAGAGUUCUAUUUGGUGGAGGGAUUUAAAAAAAGUGUGUGGGGGAUGCAAUGGACAAAAGUGGUUUGAGAGGGAUAUAAAAUGGAAAGUGGGGGAUGGUAACACAAUAAAAUUUUGGGAUGAUAAGUGGGCUUGUGAAGAGAAAUUAGUUGAUAUCUUUCCUCGGCUAUUUCUUGUAUCCGAACAAUAGAUGGGUCUGAUAAAAGAUAUGGGUAGCUGGGUCAACAAGGAGCGGAUUUGGGACUUGAGAUGGAGAAGGUAUUUUUUUCCAAUGGGAAGAGGAAUUGGUAAAUGGUUUAAAGGACAAAAUCAUCAACAUAAGACCAGUUAGAGAAAUGAAGAAUGAAUGGUUGUGGCUUGAAACUGAAGUAUUCUCUGCUAGUUCUGCAUAUAGAGUAAGACUUGAGGAUAUUGGCCAGACAGAAGAUUUAAUAGUAUUUCAAGAUCUUUGGAAGGUAAAAGUCCCACCCAAGGUGUUGUUCAUGAUCUAGAGGGUGUUGAUAAAUAGGUUACCCAUGUGUGAUAACUUGUUUAAAAGGAACAUAGUUUUGGUGGAGGAACACAUAUUAUACCCAUUUUGUAAAGCACAAUUUGAAUCAACUAGCCAUAUUCUCUUCACAUGUGCUAGGUCUAAUAGUAUUUGGAAAUACUACUAUAAUUGGAUGUAUAUUGCAACUGUGCUCCUUGAGUCUAGACAACAACACUUUCUUUAGCAUUACGAAGCCAAAAUUACAUAGGGUGGGAAUGACAGAUGGAAAAUCAUUUGGGUUGGUGUAGUAUGUUUGUGGAGGUUAAGGAACAAUUGUGUGUUUAAUGGAGGUGUUUUUUCUUUCCAAAAAUUGAUUAAAGGCAUCAAAUAUUUUGCAUGGUGGUGGAUGAAGGUUAGAGACAUUGAAUUUAAUUUCUCCUUCAGUCAAUGGGCAUCCAAUCUCAUUGUGUGCCUUAAUAAUUGUGGCUUUUGAAAUGUGGAAAGGAGCGAAUUAUGCAUAGUAAUAAAGGUGAUUUAAAAUUUAAGGUUUUCUUGGUGGAGGGACUAAUUCGACAAACUGAAUUUGAGGACCAAGCAUUGAAGGGGUAUUUAAUACAAUUAAUUUAAUGUUGGGUGGCUCUUUUGGAGGUUGUGUUUGCUUUUAGCACUUUCUUUUGGCCCCGUUGGUUAUUAUCUAUUUGGUUGACCAUUAAUUAAACAGUAGAUAACCAAGAGGGAGAAUAAAUGUAUUUUCUAGACUACUUGUACUUUUUGGUACUCCUUGUACUUGUCAUUAAUAUAUUUCCUUUUGCUAAGCUAAAAAAAAGUGUAUAUGUUUGGUAGAGUGAAAAGAAAAGAGAUAAAGUAAAACAAAAUGAAAGUUUUGAAUUAAAGUAGAGAGUAAAAGUGUGAUUCCUACAAAAUUUUACUGUUUAUUUCACUCGUUGUUCACCCUCUUUCACCUCUACCAAAUGAAGCAUAAGUCUUAAUAAUUAUUGCUUCCAUUGAAAAUUGGGCUACAAAAAGGAUUACCUAUAAUUUAGAUUAAGGAGCCAAAUCGAUAUUGAUACUUGAGUCAAGUCAUAGUCAAAGGGAAAAUGGUUACCAUUGAGUCAAUGUUGAUAGAGUAAAAGUCAUUGUGGACAUUGGAUUUAAAGGGUGUGACAAUGUUAGCACUCCAACAUUGAGUAGAAUAAAUACUUGAUGCGGUACUUAAGCUUUGAGGCUUUGCAACCUAAUAAGCUAGUCUUUUAGACUGGGUUCUCUUCUAGUAUUUAUGUCCUAACAAUGUUUUAAUUUCAUUACUUUCCAAGUGUCAUCUUAUAUCAUUUUUAACCCAUUCUAAGAUUCUAAUCAUGACACCCUUUACCCAUAGCUAAUUAAUAAAUAUAAUGUUACAGAAAAUAAAUAAGGUUAAUUUUCUUUGAAAACUUCUCUUAGAGGUAAAAUAAAUUACAUAUAUAUCAUUUUCUCAAAUUGAACUCCAAAUUUAAUAAACUUUAUAAACAAGAACAUUAAUUAAUAAAUGUUGACACUCUAAGUCAUACAUCUCAAAUGAAAGCAAUACUAAAAAAAUAGUUAAAAAUAUAAAAGUUUUGAUUGCCUUGAUGCCACAAUACUUAGACCUUAUUAUCUUAUGAAAGGAAAACAUAACAACCAUAAUUAAAUAAAUAAAAAAGUUGUUCCUCCAUCAUCCUACUCAAUAUUCAUAAGCAUAUUACUUGAAAAUGGCAUUCAACCUAAACAAACACAAGCAAACAGCAAAAGCAAGAGGUGAGAACAUGUUCUCAAGUCGUGCUCAAAGUAUAACAUCAACAAUAGGUAGAGCAUAAGCACGCUCAUACUCUUACACAUAUAGAUACAUUGCCUUAACAAUUGUAAAUAACAUAAAGGCUUAUCAAUAAUCACUAAAAAUCAUAUAAUGCCAUGUGCAAUAUAAUCCUAACUUUACUCCAUAUGUCAUGUGUUGCCAACUCAAACUAUUGAAAUAGAUCACAAAUGUCUACCUAUAAGAAGCUUCAUUGUCAUCAAUGCCUUUAGUGUAUGUUGCACUACACUACAAUGAUAUCAACUCGAUGACAAGUUAUGGUUACCCAACUUUCGAAGUAAACCCUAGUCCUUUGGGAUUAACAUGGGCUAAUGGAGUUCCCACAUUAGGUCUCUGAAACCCUUAAGAUCAAGGUUGUCAUAACCUCUACCAUCAGACUCAUACUUCACAAAAAUUGAAGACUUUAUGCAAAUGAUGCAUGUCACAUCCCGAUGCAACACUAAUCCCACUGGACUUCCCAUCACACAUAAGUGAGCCUAUCAUCUCCCUUCAUAGGUUAGGUCACUUACUACUACCAUCCAAGCCUAAUCUAUGCAUUUCAUAAAAAGCCGGUUUGAUCAUUUACUAUAUUAAAAUUUAGAAGGAAUGUAAACUAGCUAUGUAAUUCUAACAGUUCAACCUUUGCUCAUAAAAAUUAUGAUAUCUUGAUCUAAAAAUCUUAUUUUUGGGUGGGACCAAAAUCAUCGGUUAGCUAACAUCUAGUACUACAUUUCUAAUGAAGGAAUCUCCAUCUAAUCCACAUUCCUUAAGGUGUGCACAACCAUGAAACACAAAGCAUGAUUGUGCUUCAUUUUCCAAGCAUUGUUCUCAUUUCAAAUCAUUGUCAUGCAUAAUUAUGCAUGACUGUGCAUACAUUCCAAAGUGGUGAUUUUGUUGUGAAGCAUGAUCGUGCAUAAUUCCUAAAACCUUACUCUAAUUUUUUUCUUAUGCAUGUUCGUGCUUACGUGAAGCAUGGUUGUGCUUCUUGAAGGUAGGUACACAAAUUCAUUAUUCAUGGUUAUGCUUAGGUUAAGCAUGGUCGUGCUUUGUUAUGUAGGCCCAUGCUUCAUGAUGCAAGCCUCUACUUAACAGUUUUGGCUUAGACGCUCUAAUUCUACAAUUGAUUUAACUCAUCAAUUCCUUCAUUAUCAAGAGCAUAUCAAACAAUUUAUGUAUAACAUGGUUAGGACAAUAUAAUCAUUCAAUUGCAAGAACCCAAGAAAGGGAAAAAUCACAAGAACAACCAAAUUGUCAACCCAUAAAAAAAAUCAAAUGCUUUAAGGAAUUCACAACACAUCCAAUUGAAUUGAACAUAAAACAUAAAUUAAUUCAAGUUCUAGGGCCAACUCCUCAACCCAUGGUCAAUGCCAUGGUCAAGAGCAAGAGUUCCCACUCCCCCCACUUCAAAUACAAAAGCACAAUAGGGGUUGAAGCCUUUCUUUCCAUUCUAACUUGACUUAUGUUGACAAACGUUUUCAAUUUCUAGUGAGAUAUUGAAUAUCUAUUCUAAUUUUACCUUGUAAUAAAUAUUGUUGUCCUGAAAGACUUUUUUCUUUAUAAGCUAAAUUUUAUGAAAAUUUGUCUUGAAAGACUUGAUAAUACAUUUAUUGAAAUUCAAAAAGAAAGUAAGAACAUUUUAGUAAAGUUGUACCCAAUAAAUACUAUUUUCUUGAAAUAUUUAUUUUUUGGCUAAAUAUUUUUUUCGUCCUUAUAAAAUUUGAAAAAUUUGAUUUUCAUCCUCUUAAAAUUAAAAGAUGUCAAAUUUUGGCCUAGAGCAAUGUUCGAUUAUAUCCAAACUUAUGUAUCUGAUGCAUGCCUACUAAAGGACUGGAUACUUGUGCAAUAGUUUUUAGCGGUUUGAAACCAUAAAAAAAUGCUUGAGUAAAACAUUGAAUAAUUGUUGGCGGUUUAAAAUUGUCAAUAAUAAUUACACCUUUCUACUAAUGACGAAUCUACACAUUGCGAAGUGCCAAAUACUCUCAAAUAAAAACACAAAAUCAAUCCAAUUUUGACCCAUAGCAAGGCCACUAUUAUAAGAUAAUAGGGUACAUAGCAUAAAACCUAGACAAAAUCAAUCCAUUAUGAUACUUGAAAUUAUACAUAGCAUAAAACCUAGACAAAAUCAAUCCAUUAUGAUACUUGAAAUUAUACAUAGAGGCGAAUAUAACACAUACAAUCUCUAUACCUCAGUGAUUUACUUCUAGCCCAUUCAGAGAUUCAGAAGAAAUUCUUCAUAGCAUAAAAUAGUUUCCUCACCACCAAUCAAUAAUCCUUCAAGCAAUUUUUUGUUAUCAAGUAUGCAAAGGUGCCUCGCAUGAUCAACUAUAUAACUUGUGAUCACAAUAUUGAUUUGUGUGAUUAAGGAUGACAAGUGAUCCAGAGUUUUAUUUAAGAUAUAUAUAUAUAUAUAUAUAUAUAUAUAUAUAUAUAUAUAUAUAUAUAUAUAUAUAUGGCAUAUCAUAAGAGAGUGAGAGGAAUGAAUCUUAGCCACUGGGUCGAAAUUAACGAUUAAGAUUAAAAAAGUCACUAAAGUGGUGCAUGGGUAGUUGCUUGCAUCAACCAAACCAAACCUCUUUGUUAUCCAAACACUCUAAACCUUACUCGUUUCUAUGCUCAGUACCUUGACUCGUUUCCUCUUCUUUUGCACCUUUCUUCGUUGUCGCCCACCAUUGAGGUUGUGGUCAGUUAGGCUGGUCGGCAAGUGUAUCGAUUCGCACAAGUAGUAUAAAACGGUAAGACUGAGUAUUGUAUCCUUAGGGAAUUUGUUUCACCUAGACCAUGUAUAUUUAGUAUGUAAACACUUAUAAGGAUUAAACGAAGCAAAUGUUGAGUUCUAUAAAACCUAUUUGAACGAAAACAAAAUAUUUAAAGUUAUAAAAAGUGACAACUAUCAAGUUAAGAGCAUUGGGGAGUGUCCUACUAAAUUUAUCUUGCUGUAUAAAAUGUGUUUUUCUCUAUUUAAUGUUAUCCUAGUGAUUUUACACUGAGAAACUACUCAAACCAUGAUUCCUCACAUGAAUGAGCCUAACUCUCUUUAGACUUUGUUGUUGAUUCUUGAUGUGUCAUCAUUUUCUCAUAUUUCUUAACCCUUUUUGUCACCAUUUUAAUUACUGAUGAGCCUUAAUUGUCAAAUUAAUUAUGCAGUUUUAUCAUUUGGGCCUACUGGAUUAAUUUUGUGUUUUUAAUUUAAUUUCAGGAGAAUUAUAAGCAAUUGGGCUUGAAUCCAGAAUUGGGCUUGGACUUGAAGAGAGUAGACUAUUUUAUUCUACCAAAUUUUAUCUUAUCUAGAUUUUAUCUUAUCUAGAUAUUAUUUAGAUUUGAUCUCAUCUAGAUAUUAUUUCAUCUAGAUCUUAUCUUAUCUUAUCUAGAUUUUCUUUUAUUUAUGGGCUUGGAUUUAAAACAGAUUUGAAAGCUUUGGGGCUGAAAACUAUAUAACAACACCAAGGUUCUAGUUUUGGCUCUCUUCUCUCUCUCCUCUCCUCUCUCUCUUUUUCGUUUUAGUUUUAGAGUGCUACUCUCAAUUCGUUUUAGUUUCUUUUUCAUUUUGGAGAAUAAUUCUAGUUUUCUUCGUUUCUACUACAAUUUCGUUUUCUAUUGAUUAAUGGAAGGCUAAGUCUCCAGCUUUGUUUUCUCUUGAGGAUCAAACACAGCUCUCUUUGAGGUUCUAUUAUUACUAUUAAAUUCUGAUCAGUUUUUCCUCUUCACCAAUUACUCUGUAUUUGUUGCUAUUAAUUCAUGCAUGCUUAGUGCUUGAUUAAUUGUCUCUACGCUUAAUUUAUGUUCAUGCUUAAUGAUCGUUCAUGAUUAAUUGGUGUAUGUAUUGCUUAAUCACAUAAUGAAUGCCUUAUGUCAAAUUUCGCUUAGUAAUUUAAUUUAAGGUUGGAUUAAGUGGUUGAACUGAUAAAGGAUAAACUCUUGUAACCUAGGAUAAGAGACUUGCUUGUGAAUCAAGGGGAAGCAACGUGUUUUAAUUCUGAUAUUUUCUAAUUCACAUCUAUUCACUGUUUAAUUUACAGAAGCAAACAACCCCCCCCAAUUCGUUACUAUUUUCCUACUAUCUGUUAUGAACGUUUGGUUGACCAUUGCUCGUUGGGAGACGACCUAAGAUCACUUCCUAGAUACUGCAUUUUUAAUGUUUAUUUGAUUCGAGUACGGCCUCGAUCAAAUUUGGCGAUGUUGCCGGGGAGCAGUGUCCAAAGGUUCAUAAUAGCUAGUGAUUCAUGUUUUAUGUUUAGUUGUUUUAUGCUUUCGUGUUGUGUUAGUGUUGUGUUAGUGUCUUGUUAUUUUGUUUAGUGUGGUGUUUUGUUUUAGUUUUUCUAUUCAGCGCUUCCCCUGUUUCAGUUUUGUGUUUUGCUGUGAAUAGUGCUUUGCGACGGAUUUAGCGACCACUUUUGCUAACCUGGGAAACACAUUAGUAGUGCAAAUCCAUUAGCGACUGAAUUAGUGAUUGUUGUUGACAAUUUAAUUGGCGAUUUUUGUUUUGAUAGUUAGGGUUGUUAUUUUUGGCUGAAUUUUGGUGUGGUAGGUUCUUUUGACUCGUAUUUUGUGUGAAAAAUACCAGGAACACUUGGUGUGGCCAGAUUUGAGAGAUUCCAAAAAAUUUGAGAACUUGUGUUUAGCAAAACUUCAAACGGCCAUAACUUUUGCUCUGGGUAUUAGAAUGACUAUUAUUAUAUAUGUAUUUGGCGGCCCGCCAAAGGCUGGCUGAGGACUCUAGCUAGCCAAAAUUGCCUGUUUACUAGUUUUUUUUUUUAUUUUUCAAGUUUUAUUAUUUUAUUUUUCUAAACUUUCCUUAGGUAGUUUCCAUAGUUAGACUUUGAAUUUUUGCCUAAAAAUUUUUGUGCCAUCUUUUCAUGAUUUUAGGGUGUUGCUCUCAAAAUUUCAAGUCAUUUGGAUGUCAUUUGAGGGUAGCUGUAGUUCAAACCUACACUGUUACUUGCAUAAGAAGGCAACUUGUUGUGCAUGCUGAAUGUAGUGUAUGACUAGAGGCAAUCCAUCUGACUUAUAACCCUUUGAUCCUGAGAUAGAUAGGACAUUUCAUAGAUUAGUUAGACAUCAUUUUGUACCUUUUGAGCAUCCUGAGCAUUCUGUUAUUGGUGAGUCUGAGCAUUCUGGGGUUGGUAAUUUUGAACAUCCUGAUUUUGAGCAUUAUAGUUUUGAACAUUUUGAGAACAUGACACAACCUCCACCCCGUGAGAGGACUCUAAGGGAAAUGGCUGCACCUGAUUUCACCUACGAAAGCUUGUGCAUCCAAUACCCUGAUGAGGAUGUCCCAUAUGUUCUUAAAAUUGGACUGAUCCAUUUGCUUACAAAGUUUCAUGGCCUUGUAGGUGAAGACUCGCACAAACAUCUGAAAGAAUUCCAUAUUGUUUGCUCCACCAUGAAACCCCCAGAUGUUCAGGAGGAUCACAUAUUUCUGAAGGCUUUUCCUUAUUCUUUAAAGGGAGUGGCAAAGGACUGGCUUCAAGGUCCAUCAUGAGCUGGGAUGACCACAAGAGAGUAUUCUUAGAAAAAAUUUUCCCUGCUUCAAGGAUCAUGACCAUCAGAAAGGAUAUUUCAGGCAUUAGGCAACUCAGUGGAGAGAGCCUAUAUGAAUACUGGGAGAGAUUUAAAAAACUAUGUGCUAGUUGUCCUCACCACCAGAUUUCUGAGCAACUUCUUCUCCAAUAUUUUUAUGAAGGACUCAGUAACAUGGAGAGAAGUAUGAUUGAUGCUGCCAGUGGUGGAGCCCUUGGAGACAUGACCCCUGCUGAAGCCAUAAAUUUAAUUGAGAAGAUGGCUUCCAACUCCCAACAGUUUAGUGCCAUAAAUGAUGCUAUUGUCAUUAGAGGAGUGCAUGAAGUUGCCACGAAUUCAUCUUCAUCAGCUGAAACUAAGAAACUUGAGGGUAAACUAGAUGCCUUGGUUAAUCUGGUAACCCAGCUGGCCUUGAAUCAGAAGUCUCUACCUGUCGCAAGACUCUAUGGUUUAUGCUCCUCUGCCGACCACCACACAGACCUUUGCCCUUAUGUGCAACAAUAUGAAGCAAUUGAACAGCCUGAAGCUUAUGCUGCAAACAUCUACAAUAGACCUCCUCAACCUCAGCAGCAAAAUUAGCCACAAUAGAACAAUUAUGACCUCUCCAGCAACAGGUACAAUCCCGGGUGGAGGAAUCAUCCCAACCUUAGAUGGUUGAAUCCUUCACAACAGCAGCAACAACAACAACAACCUUAUUUUCAGAAUGCUGCUGGCCCAAGCAGACCAUACGUUCCUCCACCAAUCCAGCAGCAACAACAAUAACAGCAACAGCCCCAGAAAUAACAAACAGUUGAGGCUCCUCCGCAACCUUCCCUUGAAGAACUUGUGAGGCAAAUGACUAUGCAAAACAUGCAGUUUCAACAAGAGACCAUAGCCUCCAUUCAGAGCUUAACUAAUCAAAUGGGACAAUUGGCUACACAGUUGAUGCAAUCCUACCCCGCAAGGGCAUUGGAUAGAAAACUCCAAGUAGAUUGGGCCAGAGAUGCAAGAGAAGGCCCUAGGGUUCUUAUGAGCCUUAGGGUAGAUUUCUGGCCCAUGGGCUAAGUACGAGCCCACUUAUCUUUGUAAAUAUUAGAUUAAGGUUUCAUUAUUUUUGGGCCUUGUAUUUAGGGCUCCAUAAUGUAGGUAGGGUACCCUAGAAAUAUAGGAUUUUUCAGCCCUUGUAUUUUAGGGCACCUAGACUAGUUUUUGUAUUAGGGGUAGUUUUGUAAUUUCACAUGCACUAAGUGGAUAUUUGAUGUGUGUGGUUGGAAAUAAAUUUAAUUGAAUUGGUAGAAGCCCAAUCCAAUUAAAUUUUAGAGGGGGAGGUGAGCAUUUGCUUACUACACCCCAUUGUCACAUCAUAUAGUCACACUUUGUGCAUGUCCUUCAUGCUUUUCAUGCCUCAUGACACCUAAGCACACUUAGUGGAGAAUCUUGGAAUUGAUCUUGGAUUAGUGGGCUAAACCAUAACUAAAAUUCAGUAAUCAUAAUUAGUGAAAUUUUGGCUCCACAAAUUCAAUUUCAAAUUCAAGUGAAAUUUGAAUUUCCUCCAAUUUUGUGUGACACUUAGGCUAUAAAUAGAUGUCAUGUGUGUGCAUUUUUUUUCAACUUUGAUCAUUUGAAUAUUAAACUUCAGAUUUCAAAGCUCAUUUAGAGCACAAAAUUUCGUGCUCUUCUCUCCCUCUCCCUUCAUUCAUCUCCUUCUUCCUCCAAGCUCUUAUCCAUGGCCUCCUAUGGUGGUGAGCUUCUUCUAGACUCAUCUUCUCCUUGAAGUGGCGUCUCCUCUCUCUCUUCCUUUCUCCAUUCCGCUGCCAUUCAUCUUCCAAGAAGCAAAGGAAUCCAUUGAUGAAGAAGAUCCUAGGCCUACAAGCUCCAAUGGAGCUUGCAUCAUGUGGUAUCAGAGCAUCUUCAUCCAGGUGAUGUUCUUUUGCUUCCUCUAUCUUUUUGUUUGGUGAAUUCUCUUUAAUUCCUUGUUCUUCAUCUUAUUCUCCAUGUAUAUCCUCCAUUGUCUUGUGGUUUGGUGCUGUUUAGAGUAGAUUAAAAAAAAAAAAUAAACCAAUUAAAUCUUAGAUCUACACUUGUUCUUGCAUUUCUAUGGUUCAAAUUUUGUAGAUCUACUCUUGAAUCUUGUUUUUGUGUUGAUUUUAGGUUCUAUCAUUUUUCAUUCAUAAUAUUCAUGUGCUGAACCUUAGAUCUAAAUUUUCUUCCAAAAUAUUGAUUAGAAAAAAAAACACAAAAAUCUAAGUGUAAAUCACUUAAUCCAUGUUGUCUUAGAGUCAUGUUUAGUCAUAGUAAUUGUCACAUUAUGUUCUAAGUUUGUGUUGAAUUUUUAUUUUGUUGAUUGAAUUCUAGAUACAUUUGUUCAUGUAUUCUUGUCAUUCUUAGCCUAUCUUUUGAAUUUUGAGUCUAAUUCAUGCAUGUUAUUUAGUUCAUAACAUGUUCUAAAUCAAUUCCUAGAAGUAGUCUUGUUGUUGAACUCUUUUUUGUUUUCUAAGAUUCCUACAUGAUGCCUAUGAUGAAGUUGAGUUGUGGUGCUGAGUUGUGGCUGGAUUUGUGAAUCAAAUAAGUCUUAAGCUCUAUUGAAUUGUGUUAUUCAAGAUAAUUGAGCAUAAGCAAACACAAAUUGUAACUAUCCAAGCCUUAAGCAACAUAAACACUACUCUUGAUUUCUAGGUUGAAAUCGCUGGUGCUGGCAGCUUGAACAUACGAACUUGUAUAAAUUACUGGGAAUUGGUCACUACGUUUUUUGAGCUGAAACUUUUACUGAAUUUUCUAGACAUCUGGACCAAAAUUAUAAAAAAAGAACCAAGCGAUUUGAAUUAAAGGAAAAAAUAAUAAAAAUCUCACAAGUUGGCAGAAAAAUCAGUGUCCAGGAAAAAAAAAAGUGAAAGGAAAGUGUGCUUGUUGUUUUGGUUCAAAAUUUGUUCUAUAAUUGGUGCCUAUUUUAUACCAAUCCUAGUUCUGAAAUUUCAAUUGAAAAUUAUUGUGAAAACAAGUGCCAAAACUAGAGGUUUCUUGAGUCUUUUUUUUAGAGUUUUUCUACUUUACUCUAGAGCCAUUCUAGGUUUCUCUUUGAGUCCUAGCUUGCUUUUUUGUGCUUUUCAUUGCUUUAAUUGUUGAAUAAUCCUUGAAAAUUUGUCUUGUUAAAACUCUAUUGGUUUAGCUUUCAUUUCAUUUUUUUUUUGUCUUUGGUUAUUGCUUGUCUCUUUGUUUCCUUGGUUGUGAGUUGCCAUAUAGGGAAUUGGAAAGGAGGAUUGGUGCCAUAUCUUGAAGGAUUUGAGUCAAGAAGAAAGGGGCCAACCACCUUAAGAGCUAUUGGACUAAGAAGCACUCCAAGUUGAGUGAAACACUAAAGAGAGAAUAGCCACCACAAUUGAGGACUUUUUUUUUCUUUGUAAUUUUGUAAUUGGCAAUUUGCUUUGCUUUCAAAUUUUGUAACAAAAAGGCCUUUCAUUGGAAGUAAGUUGGGAGCCUCCGCUAGGUCACCCUACUUCCAUUUGUGUGUAAUAAUUUUAGGCAAUUUCCCCUUAGGACAGUGAGUGUUUUGUUGGGAACCUUAAAUGAGGUCAUCCAAACACUCUUAGGAUCCGCCUAGUUUGCAUUUCUUGCACUUUAAUUUCUUGCUUACUUUCAUAGCUUAUUUCUUUUACCCUCCAUUGUCAAACCGCCUAGAUAGCUUGCCUUUUACCAAUUAGUUUUUACCUUAUCUUUCACACCUCUUUUAGUGUUUAUUUUGGCUAGUUUCAACCAUAGUUUCUUUUACCUUUUGUUUUCAAACCCCCAACAAGAAAGAACUAUAACUUUGGAACCAACAUGAGUCUUCAUUCUUCAUAUAGUGUUAAUGGUGAGGGUUCUACUCCUAAGGGCCCCUUGUAUAAGAUAUUAGAUGAGUUGAGAUCCCUUAAGUUGUGGAAAGAAAAACAAGAGAGAAAAGAAAAAGGUAAAAAAAGAGUGGAAGAAAUAAGUCAAGAUGAAAGAGAUAAAAUAAGAGAGGAAGAAAGAAAAAAAUAAUGAAAGAAAUGAAAAGAGAAAAACAUGUCUCCUAUAGUAGUUAUAACUCUUGCAAGAGCCUAAGUGAAGAACUUCGUGACUAUUAUGAAGGAAGGCAUAGGUCACAUCUUAGACCUCACUCCCAUAGGAGAGAAAAUGAAAGAAAGCCUCAAGAGGUUAACAUUAAACUCCCAUACUUCCAUGGGAAGGACAAUGUAGAGGCUAAUUUAGAUUGGGAAAUAAGGGUAGAGCAACAACUUAAAAGGAAGUCUACUUCAAAAUCUUAUGGCUCUCACUCUUAUCCAAAGAAAGGCCAAGGUCAAGGAAUCUUAGGGGUGAGACCUUCUAAGCCCAUAGAUGAUAAGGGGAAGACAAUAGAAAAGCAACCCCUUAAGGCUAGUAUGCAAGAGAAGACUAGCUCCAUGAAGUGCUUUAAAUGUCUUGGAAGAGGACACAUUACUUCUCAAUGCCCCACCAAGAAAACCAUGAUUAUGAGGGGCCAAGACAUUUAUAGUAGCCAAGAUGAGGCUACUACUUCACCUUCCUCUAGUAAAAGUGAAGAAGCAAAAGGGGAAGAAUCUAGUGAAAAGAUCUACCCCCAAGAAGAAGGACAACCUUUAAUGGUUAAGGAGGAGUGUAAGGAGGUAAGUGUCUCCUCCAAGAGGUUAGCUAAGAAGGAAAGACAUUUUGAAAUAAAGACAAAUAUUAAAGAAAUUUCCCUUCUUAGACAACCUCCACAUUUUCUCCUUUGUAAAAAGACACUUUUUAGCAUUGCCACAUCUCUUAGGCUUGAGUUUAUUCCUCAAGUAAAGGAGUUGUUGGAUGAGGGUUUGGUUCGCAAGAGAUUAAAUCCUUGUGCUUUGUUGGUGCCCAAAAUAGGUAUUAUUAGGCACCAAAUCCCUAAAAUAGGUGGUGUGAUGAAUGCUUUGGGUGGUGCAACACUCUUUUGUAAAAUCAGUCGUGCACCCAACAUCUUCAUGAUUUGUGUACAUAGGGACUCAUUAGGUAGGUUUGUUCUUAUUUUUAGUUUCAAAACAAACUUAGGCACUCAUAUGGGACACCUUAGGUUUGUCAUACUUUUUGGUAGGAAUAAUCAACAUGAAAAUACAAAAAAAGGUAUGUUCUAUUGCUUUACUUUUCUUAAUCUUUUAAAUUGUGAUCAAGGGGUUCCUAUGAACCCUAAGAGAAUAAAGGUCAUUCCUGAGUGGCCCGCUCCACCAAGUGUAAGAAAAAUUUGGGGCUUCCAAGACUUAACAAACUUUUACAAAAGGUUUGCCCCAUAUUUUUCUAUACUUGUAGCACCACUCAUUGAGUUGGUGAGGAACCAUGUUCCUUCAUGGGAAGAUGCCCAGGAAAUGAGUUUUCAGACCUUACCUUACUUCAACAUACUAAACACCACUAAUACAUAUGUUUUUGUUCUUUUUACAGGUGUUGAGGAAAAAAGCCCAAAGUUUCAAGAACAUCGGGAUUUGAGGUCAAAUCCUUUUCAAGGGGGAGGGAAUGAUGCAAUCCUACCCCGCAAGGGCAUUGGAUAGAAAACUCCAAGUAGAUUGGGCCAGAGAUGCAAGAGAAGGCCCUAGGGUUCUUAUGAGCCUUAGGGUAGAUUUCUGGCCCAUGGGCUAAGUACGAGCCCACUUAUCUUUGUAAAUAUUAGAUUAAGGUUUCAUUAUUUUUGGGCCUUGUAUUUAGGGCUCCAUAAUGUAGGUAGGGUACCCUAGAAAUAUAGGAUUUUUCAGCCCUUGUAUUUUAGGGCACCUAGACUAGUUUUUGUAUUAGGGGUAGUUUUGUAAUUUCACAUGCACUAAGUGGAUAUUUGAUGUGUGUGGUUGGAAAUAAAUUUAAUUGAAUUGGUAGAAGCCCAAUCCAAUUAAAUUUUAGAGGGGGAGGUGAGCAUUUGCUUACUACACCCCAUUGCCACAUCAUAUAGUCACACUUUGUGCAUGUCCUUCAUGCUUUUCAUGCCUCAUGACACCUAAGCACACUUAGUGGAGAAUCUUGGAAUUGAUCUUGGAUUAGUGGGCUGAACCAUAACUAAAAUUCAGUAAUCAUAAUUAGUGAAAUUUUGGCUCCACAAAUUCAAUUUCAAAUUCAAGUGAAAUUUGAAUUUCCCUCCAAUUUUGUGUGACACUUAGGCUAUAAAUAGAGGUCAUGUGUGUGCAUUUUUUUCAACUUUGAUCAUUUGAAUAUUAAACUUCAGAUUUCAAAGCUCAUUUAGAGCACAAAAUUUCGUGCUCUUCUCUCCCUCUCCCUUCAUUCAUCUCCUUCUUCCUCCAAGCUCUUAUCCAUGGCCUCCUAUGGUGGUGAGCUUCUUCUAGACUCAUCUUCUCCUUGAAGUGGCGUCUCCUCUCUCUCUCCCUUUCUCCAUUCCGUUGCCAUUCAUCUUCCAAGAAGCAAAGGAAUCCAUUGAUCAAGAAGAUCCUAGGCCUACAAGCUCCAAUGGAGCUUGCAUCAACAGUUAAAUCAACAACAGUCCCAAAAUUCUGACAGAUUACCUUCUCAAUCUGUCCAGAAUCCCAAAAAUGUGAGUGCCAUUGCAUUGAGGUCAGGAAAGCAGUGUCAAGGACCUCAACCAGCAACAUCUUCAUCAUCCGCAAAUGAACCUGCCCAACUUCACUCUACUCCAGAAAAAGAUGAUGACAAAAAUUUAAAGAGUAAGUUACCUAACAAUUUCUAUGCAGAUGAAUCUUCCACUAGUAAUUCUGAUUUACAGAAGCAGCAUAUCCCUCUUCCAUUCCUUCCAAGAGCAAUUUCCAACAAAAAAAUGGAAGAGGUAGAGAAGGAGAUAUUGGAAACAUUUAGAAAAGUAGAGGUAAACAUACCUCUGCUGGAUGCAAUAAAGCAAAUUCCAAGAUAUGCUAAAUUCUUGAAGGAGCUGUGCACUAAUAAGCAGACGCUUAAAGGAAGUGAAAGAAUUAGUAUGGGCAGAAAUGUCUCUGCAUUGAUUGGUAAAUCUAUUCCCCAAAUCCCUGAAAAAUGUAAAGAUCUAGGUACAUUCAGCAUACCUUGGAUUAUAGGGAACAAUAAGUUUGACAAUGCCAUGCUAGAUUUAGGAGCUUCUGUUAGUGUUAUGCCUCUGUCUAUUUUUAAUUCUCUAUCUCUUAGUCCUUUGCAGUCAACUGAUGUGGUGAUUCAUUUAGCUAAUAGAAGUGUUGCCUAUCCUUCUGGUUUCAUAGAGGAUGUCUUAGUUAGAGUUGGUAAACUGAUUUUCCCUGUUGAUUUUUAUAUUUUGAAUAUGGAGGAAGGAUUUUCUCAAGGAUCAGUUCCCAUCAUUCUAGGCAGACCUUUUAUGAAAAGUGCUAGAACUAAGAUAGAUGUUUAUGUAGGCACACUAUCUAUGGAGUUUGGUGAUAUAACUGUUCAUUUUAAUAUUCUUGAUGCUAUGAAACACCCAUUUGAAGAUCUUUCUGUAUUUCACGCUGAAAUAAUUGACCAUAUUGUUGAUGAAUACAUGAAUGAUCUUCAUUCUAAUCUGCAUGCCUGUCACUCUUCAUGCAUUGAAUUUGAAUUUGUACUUGAUCAUAUGGCUGAAUUGGAUGCUGAGAGUGAAUCUGAAAUUGAUAUUGAUUACAUGUCUGGUGAUGUUUUACCUCUUGAGAUUGAUUUUCUUGAGUCAGAUAGAACUAACCAUGUUUCAGGAAGUACACAUACCUCUGACUUUCUUUAUGAGGUACAGGCUGAGAAACCAUCUCUUUCUACCAUUAUCCAGCCGCCCACACCAGAAUUGAAGCCUCUGCCAUCAAAUUUAAAAUAUGCUUGCUUGGAUGAUAGCAAAAGUUUUCCAGUAAUUAUAUCUGCCUCCCUUGCUGAUGAGCAAGAGGAAAAGCUAUUAUCAGUUCUCAAGAAGCAUAAGAAGGCUAUAGGCUGGACCCUGACGGACAUUCUUGGUAUUAGCCCAUCCACAUGUAUGCAUCGGAUAAAUUUAGAGGAUGUGGCUAAACCAGUAAGACAGCCACAGAGAAGACUCAACCCGGUGAUUCUUGAUGUAGUGAAGAAGGAGGUAACCAAGCUUUUGCAAGAUGGAAUCAUUUAUCCUAUCUCCGACAACCAAUGGGUGAGUCCCGUCCAGGUGGUCCCGAAGAAAACCGGCCUCACCGUGAUAAAAAAUGAGAAGGAGGAGCUGAUUCCUACUCGGGUGCAGAACAGUUGGAGAGUCUGCAUCGACUAUAGGAGGCUGAACCAGGUUACCAAAAAGGACCAUUUUCCCCUGCCAUUCAUUAACCAGAUGCUUGAACACAUGGCAGGUAAAUCUCACUACUGUUUCCUUGAUGGUUUUUCUGGUUAUAUACAAAUCACUAUUGCUCCUGAGGAUCAGGAAAAGACCACAUUCACAUUCCCCUUCGACACUUUUGCCUAUAGGAGGAUGCCUUUCGGCCUAUGCAAUGCCCCUGGUACCUUCCAGCAGUGCAUGAUCAGUAUUUUCAGUGAUUUUUUAGAAAAUUGCAUAGAAGUGUUUAUGGAUGAUUUCACUGUAUAUGGAUCCUCUUUUGAUAUUUGUUUGGAUAGUCUGGAAAAGGUUUUGAAUAGAUGCACUGAAACUAACCUUGUUCUAAAUUUUGAAAAAUGUCAUUUUAUGGUUGAGCAAGGUAUAGUUUUAGGCCACAUUAUUUCCAAUAAGGACAUUGAAGUAGAUCCUACAAAAAUUUCUAUUAUUUCACAAUUGCCUUACCCCUCUUGCGUGCAAGAGGUGCGAUUUUUUCUUGGUCAUGCAAGAUUCUACAGGCGCUUUAUAAGAGAUUUUAGCAAAGUAGCCCUUCCACUAUCCAACUUGUUGCAAAAAAAGGUGGAAUUUGACUUUAAUGAUAAAUGCAAAGAGGCUUUUGAUUGCCUCAAAAGAGCACUGACUACCACCCCCAUCAUCCAGGCACCCGACUAGACAACCCCUUUUGAGCUUAUGUGUGAUGCAUCAAAUUAUGCAUUGGGGGCUGUCCUUGCUCAGAAAAUUGAUAAAUUGCCUUGGGUGAUAUAUUAUGCUUCUAGGACUUUAGAUGCUGCCCAAGCGAAUUAUACUACUACUGAGGAUCGAACGUGUGUCUGAUGAGGAUUCACCCAUUCGGGAUGAUUUCCCGGAUGAUCAUUUGUAUAUAUUGUAUAGUAUUUCUGAUUCUCUUUCUACUCCCUGGUUUGCUAACAUUGUCAAUUAUUUAGUUGCUUCUGUUUUUCCUCCCUUAGAAUCUAAGGCUCAAAAAGAUAAAAUUAAAAGUGAUGCUAAGCAUUUUAUUUGGGAUGACCCCUACUAGUGGAAAUUGUGCAGUGAUCAGGUCUUUAGAUGAUACAUUCCAGAUCAUGAGACUGACUCAGUCCUGCAGUUCUGUCAUUCUUCCACAAAGUUCUUGACUGUGGCUUUUAUUGGUCCACCAUCUUUAAAGAUGCGUGGAAGAUUUGUAGCACUUGUGAGCAGUGUCAGAGUGCAGGAAGUGCACUUACAUGGCGAUAACAAAUGCCUCAGCAACCUAUGCUAUUCUGUGAGGUGGUUGAUGUCUGGGGUAUAGAUUUCAUGGGCCCUUUUCCUGUCUCUUUUGGUUAUGUUUACAUUCUCCUCGCAGUUGAUUAUGAUUCAAAAUGGGUGGAAGCCAAGCCCACGAGAACUAAUGAUGCUAAGGUUGUUGCAGAUUUUGUCAGAUCUAAUCUAUUGUGCAGGUUUGGAGUACCUAAAGCAAUCGUUAGUGAUCAAGGAACCCAUUUUUGCAACAAAUCAAUGCAUGCCUUGCUUAAAAAGAAUGGGGUUGUAUACAGGGUAUCCACACCAUACCACCCCGAAACCAAUGGACAGACAGAAUUUUCUAAGAGGGAGAUCAAGAGAAUUUUAGAGAAGAUUGUGCAGCCAAGCAGGAAAGAUUGGAGUACCAGGCUUAAUGAUGCUCUUUGGGCACAUAGGACUGCCUACAAAGCACCCAUAGGAAUGUCUCCUUAUCGGGUUGUCUUUGGAAAGGCAUGUCAUCUUCCAGUGGAGAUUGAGCACAAAGCAUACUGGGCAGUGAAGACCUGCAACUUCUCUAUGGAUCAAGCUGGUGAGGAAAGAAAGUUGCAACUGAGUGAGUUAGAUGAGAUCCACCUAGAAGCGUAUGAGAAUGCCAAGUUCUACAAAGAAAAGACCAAGAAGUUCCAUGAUAGCAUGAUAAUUAAGAAGGACUUCAUGGUUGGGCAAAAAGUGUUAUUGUAUAAUUCUAGGCUUGGACUCAUGAGUGGUAAGUUGAGGUCUAAGUGCAUUGGUCCUUUUGUUAUUACUAAUGUUUUUCCUUAUGGUACAGUUGAGAUCAAAAGCGACUCCACAAACAAGAGCUUCAAGGUCAAUGGACACCGACUUAAGCCAUUCCUCAUAAACCCUUCUUUAGUGGACGUAGUGGUGGAAGAGACUUUCUUACUCCACCCUACUCUUCCUCCAGCAUGACUUAGGGAGUUUUCCUUUUCCUAUCUCCUUCUUUACUUUUAUUACAUUUGUCUGAUUCUAUUUGAUGGUUUAAUUGCUUUUAAUCUUUUACCUGUGCUACAUUAAGGACAAUGUGUUGUUUAAGUAUGGGGGAGUGUUCAUUGGUUUUGCUAGUUUUGUUAGUUUUGUUAAUUUUGUUAGUUGUGUUAAAUUUUUUAAUUUUGUUAGUUUUGUUGGGUUUCUAGUUUAAUAUUUUAGGUCAAUUUUGUUUGCAUGUACAACUUUGCAUAUUUUUCUUUGAAUUAUAGGAUAUGUUCAAGUAAUGGGUAAUUGUUUUGAAAAUAAAAGUCACUUGACAUUUUGUGCUUUGAAGUCCUUGUUUUUCCUCUACAUGUCAUGAUAGUUUUGAAAGCUCAAUUUGGAAGUGAUAAGUUUACCUUUGUGAGAAUUUGAGCCAUCAUCAUAAUCAUUUGGUGUGUUUUGCCCCAUUGAUUGCUUGCACAAUAGCCUUGGCUUGAUUCUUGUUGGUGCUUCCUAAUUCAUAUGCAUAUUUGGAAAUGAUUUAGACAAUUUUGUUCUUGUAAGCCUCUAGCCAAAUGGACUUACCUUGAAUUAAUCCCUUUGAUAGCCCUUUGAGCCUAUGUUUCCCUUUCUUUGUUUUGAAGCUCAUUACAAGCCUUAAGUGAAAAACCAUGAUCUCACCUUAACCUUAAGGAAUUUUGGAGCUAUGGAAUUGUUUUGGGAAUAAGUGUGGGGGGGUUUUGCUGGAUAACAUAUUUCGUUGGCUAUGCUUCAUGAUGUAUUUUGGGCCAUACUUGAUGUACAUUGUAUACUGGUUAAAUGUUGGACAUGCUGAAUGAUAUGUUAUUUCCCAAAUGCUACAGUGCAAAAAAAAAUUUUAGUAGAAUCAAUUCAAAAAAAAGAAAAAGAAAAGCAAUAAAGUUGAGUGAAUAAGAUCUUAAAUGGAAAAAGAAUGAUGAGACUCUUGGCUCUACUCUUUGCGUUUAAAUUUUAUCUUUAGCUUUUCUUAUUUUUUUCUUAAUAUGCACUUAUUCCCCAUUGCUCCUCUAUUCCUUUGGGAUUUAGCUACUUAUUCCAUAUUUUCCCUACCUUGUCCUUGGCCCCAUCACAACCUUAAAAAACCUUUUGAUCCUCAUGUGCUUGUGUUGAUGGGUUGAUUGUCAAUUUUAGAAUCUUGCCAAGUUUAUGUGGUGUUGGUUUUCAUGGGUGCUUUGAGGGUAAAUAGUAGCCUAGACACUUGAGAGAUAGAGUGUAUAUCUUGUGAGGCUUUAUCACUUUUCAUUCUUGAGCUGAUUAACUAUUUUUCCAUGAUUGGGUUGCUUGGAUGAUUUUCACGGAUGUCUUGACUCUUUGGAUCUCUUCAUGUUAGAUGUUACCCAUUUUUUUUCAUUCCUUGAGAUUCAUUGAGAAAUAUGUAAUUGUUGUUUUGUUGUUUGUUUCUCUUUAAUGUCUCUGAAUUUUUCCCUUGCUUUGUUUUUUUAUUUUUUUAUUUUGUCCAGAAGUGCAAAAGGCUAAGUGUGAGGGGAUUUGAUGUGUCAUCAUUUUCUCAUAUUUCUUAACCCUUUUUGUCACCAUUUUAAUUACUGAUUAGCCUUAAUUGUCAAAUUAAUUAUGCAGUUUUAUCAUUUGGGCCUACUGGAUUAAUUUUGUGUUUUUAAUUUAAUUUCAGGAGAAUUAUAAGCAAUUGGGCUUGAAUCCAUAAUUAGGCUUGGACUUGAAGAGAGCAGACUAUUUUAUUCUACCAAAUUUUAAUCUAGAUAUUAUUUAAUCUAGAUCUUAUCUUAUCUAGAUUUUAUUUUAUUUAUGGGCUUGGGUUUAAAACAGAUUUGUAAGUUUUGGGGCUGAAAACUAUAUAACAGCACCAAGGUUCUAGUUUAGGCUCUCUUCUCUCUUCUCUCUCUCCUCUCCUCUCUCUCUUUUUCGUUUUAGUUUUAGAGUGCUACUCUCAAUUCGUUUUAGUUUCUUUUCAUUUUGGAGAAUAAUUCUAGUUUUCUUCGUUUCUACUACAAUUUCGUUUUCUAUUGAUUAAUGGAAGGCUAAGUCUCCAGCAUUGUUUUCUCUUGAGGACCAAACACAACUCUCUUUGAGGUUCUAUUAUUACUAUUAAAUUAUGAUAAGUUUUUCCUCUUCACCAAUUACUCUGUAUUUGUUGCUAUUAAUUCAUGCUUGCUUAGUGCUUGAUUAAUUGUCUCUGCGCUUAAUUUAUGUUCAUGCUUAAUGAUUGUUCAUGAUUAAUUGGUGUAUGUGUUGCUUAAUCAUAUAAUGAAAGCCUUAUGUUAAAUUUUGCUUAGUAAUUUAAUUUAAGGUUGGAUUAAGUGGUUGAACUGAUAAAGGAUAAACUCUUGUAACCUAGGAUAAGAGACUUCCUUGUGAAUCAAGGGGAAGCAACAUGUUUUAAUUCUGAUAUUUUCUAAUUCACAUCUAUUCGCUGUUUAAUUUACAAAAACAAACAACCCCCCCCCCCAAUUCGUUACUAUUUUCCUACUAUAUGUUAUGAACGUUUGGUUGACCAUUGCUAAAUUGGGAGAUGACCUAGGAUCACUUCCUUGAUACUGCAUUUUUAAUGUUUAUUUGAUUCGGGUACGGCCUCGAUCAAUUCCUCAGCAAACUUGUUCUAAAAGAGUUGCACUAAACCUACAGUGUAAAAUGGACUAGAUCACUGCACUCCAUUCCUAGACAUACAGAUUUCUAGCUUGCUCUAUCAAGUUCUAAGGUUUUAAAGCAUUUUCCAAUACUAAAAAGCCUAACUACACACAAAAAUGGGUGAUCAAGCCACAAGCAUGUAAAAUAAGCAUAGAUAGAAGCAAUGAACACAGAGAAAUAACAUUAAAUGGAUAGUAAGAGUAUUACAUCAAGAGGUUCAGUAGUAGCUCCCCAACAAAGAGGCUUAGCCUUCCAUUACUAGCAAAACUUCAAAUAUACCAGAAAGAAACUAUUUUUGGUGAAAGAAAUUGGAAGACGAUGAUGGAGAAUGCCUUCUCUAGCUUCUAAACCCUAAAUCUCUCUGUUUUUCCUAAGCUAAGCUCUCUUUGCUGAUCCAAACUCGUUCUCCGCCAACUUUCUUUGAAAUUUGCCAACUUCAGUAUUUUAAAGGCUCUUGGACUCUUCAGCUUUCGAAGGCUCGCUCAGCGAGCAUGUCUCGCUAAGCGAGAGUAAGUGAAAAUCCGCUAAGCAAGCAUGGGCACGCUGAGCGCAAGAAGAGACAACGCCCUCGCUGGGCGUGCAAAUCUAUGGCUUAUCCUCUUCUAGGGUUUCCCAUCUGCUAAGCGAGCAUGAUGCCUCGCUAAGCAGAUGCAUCUCGCUUAGCCAAUCAGCCUCGCUAAGUGAGUCAUUAGUAGCUUUUAACUUCUCUUCUUUGGCCUGAAACUGAGAUGGAUUCAACAUUAGGUCACAAAAUUGGAGUUUCUACCCUAUAAAGUCACACAAUAAAGAAAAUAUGUACAAUUUCUACAAAAAGAACCAUAAAUUGGAGGCAUAGUGCUAUCUCCUUGAAAAUUUUCAAUACCAAACUAACUUAUGAAUAACAACUAACAAACUCCCCCAAAUUUACAGUUUUGCUUGUCCGCAAGCAAAGAAAUAACAGUUUACUUGUCCUCAAGUGAUAGGAGUCAACGGUGGUUAGCCAAAAUCGUGUUUGUUUCAAAUGUUUCAAUCACAUGAACAGAGAAAACUAGCAAUGCUUCAACCAACAACCUUUCACAAAGAUAUGCAGUAUUUUAAAGAUAUGAACAUGUCUAUUAAGCAACACAAAUGGAAUAAGCUAGCAAGCAUAACAGGUAUCAAGGAAGGUGAAUCAAGCUUAAUCCUCACGGCUACUGUUUCUCUCAUAAGCACAAGUGUUUAAGGUAAUUCUUCGAAUCAACAACCAACACAAGUAUCAACUUUUGCAUUUUAUCUCAUUCCAUACAAUCACAAACACACAAAAUGAAUCUGAAGGACUUUCUUGGCUUGUAAUAAGGCUGGGCUACAAAUAAUUCAUGGUUUUUCUAGGAUGCAAAACUUAGGUUCUAGGAGAGCAUUCAUCCUUAGAUCACCUUUUUCUUUAAUUCCCAGCUUUUAUUGAUAUGUCACAAGCAUAAUAGACAUUCAACUCAAACAACAACACACAACUUUACUUAUUCUUGGAAUUUUCAUCUUUUUUAUUAUUUUAUUUUAGCAGCUUAUGCUUACUGCUACUUCAUAUAGUUUUCUGUGGUUGUUGCUUUCCUUCCUGCAAUCAAACUCACCCAAACACACUCCCCCAAAUUUGGGGCAAAUUUGUCUUAAACCAUAAUGCUCUCCUAUAACCUAAGGAAAGGUUAACAGAGAUUAUAAUUUCAAUUAGGCUUAGGGUUCAAAGACUUAUUCAAUCAUAUUCAGGCUCAAAAUGGGUGCAAGGGUUUAAUCAUUCAUGAACAAGGUAAGGCUAUUUGGCUAAGUGGCUAAAUCAGAUCAAUCAUGGCCUUCAUCAUUUCCAAAUCAUGCAUUCAUUCAGUAUUCAGAGAUUCAUGCAAAAAUCGAUACUUGAUGCUAGUCGUUCUCUCACAAUUUAGAUUCACACAUCUCACCGAGUUAUAGCCAAUGAUUCCUUCGCUAUUUACCUGUCAAACAAACAUAUUUUCACUCACGCCCCUAAUUUCAUAUUCUUUCUCUUCUAACUACCGCAUACUUAUUCAAGGCAUGUGAUCUAGUAUCACAAAUCACUUAAUUCAUGCAAUUAAUUCAAUUCAAACCAAUCAACAAACACUAUAAAUUAAAAUCAAAAGAUGUUUCAAAAACCAAAAACCAUUGUGCAUAGUUUAAAACCCGUAAACUGUUCAAAAAGCUAUAAAAUUAUGCUAAGUAAAUAAACUAAACUAAAGCUAAAAACUGUAAAACUGUCUAAAUAGUAGAAAAAUAAAAUGGAAUCCUGUCGUCAAUCAUCUUGAGCCGGUGUUGGGUCGUCAUAAGGUGAUGUGAGGGCAUCUUGAGCUGGCAUCGGAGUGGUGUCCUGUGCUGGAGUGGGCCAAGGAUCCCAGGUGCCCUGCGCUGCUGUGAUAUCCGCUACGUAAUCUGUGUCGAUAGUGCCUCCCUCAUCGGUGACCUCCAUAGGUGUGGCUGCAGGAGUGUCCUCUGGUGUUUCCUCCGUUGUCUCCUCUGGCUUUAGCUAGAGCUCCUGGGCUGUAGGAGCCUCACCUCCCCUUGCAUAAGAAGGCUGGACUCUUAACCAGGCCACCUAGGCCAUAAAUUCCUCCAUGCUGAUGAUGGGCCGCUGCCAAGCCAAGUCGUGUAUGCUCUGCAUCACCAGGCAUAAGCCGUGGUGGAGGCUUUGCAGCAUCAGCAUAAUAACGUUCGGGGUCUACACGGAAGGGUCGGAGAGUGCUGGAGGUGUUGGAGGAGGAACUAGUGCUAGUGCAGGUGCUGGUGUGGGAGCUAGAGUGGCAGCAGGGGCAGAAGUAGAAGCAUUUGAGGGUCUUCAAGCCCUGGCCUUGCGGGACCCAAGAAAGGUGAUCGUUGGAUUAUCCGGGUUCCAGCAGUUCUUCUUGAUAUAGGCCAAGUCAAUGGCCGGGCCCAGGGACUCAAAAGUCAAUGAAUCAAGAACCACUCCUCUAGUGAUGCAUAAAGCAAUGAUGAGCGCAGGAAAUCCAAGCCAAGAGGAGUUGGAUUGGGCCAUCUGUGAUAUCUGUCCAGAGAUGAUGGAGCCCACGUCCAUGUCCAUCUUCAUGACGAGUCCAUAUACCAACCUCGCCCUGUCCAUAUUAAGAUCGAACGUGUGAGAAGUAGGGGCGAGGUUAGAGUAGUAGAGGACACUCCAUGUCUGUGCGAGUGUGGUGAGGUCCUUCCUCAACAGCUUCUAAGGGGCCCCCUCUGCAUUAAGCACAAAUCCCCGCCCUGGAAUGCAUAAUCUAGUGGCGAGCUCCUGGGGGUUAGGGUGUGUGCUGCAGAAUCUGGAGUAGGCCAAGUACCUCUCCCUAGGAUCCAAGAUGACUAGGGUCUCUAGAAACUCGUUAAGAGUCACAAUAUCAAAUUUAAUCAUCUUGCCCCGCACUCUGACCUGCCUCGGGGACUUAUCUUCAAGGUCAAGGCCCUGUGCCACCUCCGUCUCUUAAGCUCUUGUCUGAACUCGUCGUACUGCGUAGUCUACAACUCAACAUUCCUCUCGGGGAGAAUUUUCCUAGCAUGGAUGUUCUGUUUGUACCGCUCCCAGGCGACCUCAGAAACAAACCGAGAGGUAUCAUAAGGUUACUAAGGUCGGGAGGUAGAAGCUCGUCUCUUUCUAGAGGCCAUCUGCAUCAAAACAAGCAAAGGAAAUUAAGUUAGACAAGGUUUAUUGAAAACAUAUAAUAGAAAACUAACAGGAAAAACAGAGCUGGGCGCUUAGCGAAAGGGGCUCGCUUAGCGCGCCUUCAGAAAAUAACAACAUGUGAGAACAGGAAAACAUAGACUCUGGCUAAGCGAGACACCCUCGCUUAGCUGAAACAACACAGUGGCUAAGCGAGCAUGGCUCGCUAAGCCUUAUUCUCUAACAGAGAGCUAAUUACGCUUAGCGGGCAUGGCUCGCUUAGCGCAACACACUACAUAGGCUUAGUGCCAAUGGGCACUUAGCGGGACUUGACUACUACAAUAUUAAUGGCUUAGCGAGCAGGCUCACUAAACCUUAUUCCAAAAUAGAGACAAAAUUGCGCUUAGUGAGCACAACUCGCUUAGCAUGACACAUAAAGAUCUCCAGAACUAAAUUGCCUUGGGCUUAGCAAGACAGACUCGCUUAGCCCAGGCUUACUCAACAGAGGCAUGCUAGGCUUAGCGAGUGUGGCUCGCUUAACCGCAACAGGAAUACAAAACACCUCUGAUCAACAUACCUAACUAAACUUACUCGCUAAGCGCGACAUGCCGACUUAGCGAGUGCAUGCAAACUCAAAAAUUAAAAACUGAAAUUUAAAGGCUUGCUAAGCCAUAGUGCAAUGGCUUAGCGAGUUCAUACAAAUAUGCAGAAAUUUAAACAGAAAUGAUGAACUCGCUUAGCGGGACAGGGCUCGCUUAGCGUGUUCAUCAGAAAACCCAGAAAUUCAAUCAAAACGGAUGAACUCGCUUAGUGAGUGCAUCAAAUUUCUAGAAAAUUGGGGCUUCAAAGCCUCAACUCCCUAGCCACUUUUCAGGCAUAGGAAGCCUGAGGCUUAGCCCUGCAAACAACCUACAUUAUAUGCUAAACUAUAGUCCUAAUUACAUGCUAACUAAACAAGUAACUACAAGGCAACAACAACAUCAACAACACAAAAUCAUAGAACAACUUAUAAGUCUUCUACCCUAGGGUUCAAAAAUUUAAAUUGACAAUAGAGUAAAGAAACUUACUUGGAUUGUAGAGAUUUCAGUGGAAGUUUGAGGCAAUAAGCAGAGGUAAAAUAUGAGUAUGGUGCAAAGUGAGCAGAUGAUUGCAAAUGAUGAAUGAGGGAAGUUAUAAUUUUGGUGAAGUGUAACUGCCUAAGGUAGUUAUGUUUUAUUUUUGGCAGUUUCGAUUUGCUCGCUAAGCGCGAGUGACUUGCUAAGCAAGCGCUCAGUGACGUUUGAAUUUUCAGAAUUUAAACUCAUGUGCUUAGUGGGACUGACUCGCUUAGCCCAAUUCGAAAAUUAGGAAACCCGAGAGUUUUUGGGCUUAGCGAGCAGAAGGCACACUUAGCGAGUUAUGCAACUUUGAUUGGUCUGCAACUUCUGCUUAGCGGGAGAUGGCUCGCUUAGCGGAUUAAAUGCCUCUUGAUGCAGUAGUGGGGUUGCGCUUAACGAGAUGGUCUCGCUUAGCACUAUUGUCAUUCUAGAGAGGGUUUUGGG